rnacentral:lncRNA from 1 species
GCUAGUCUUCUUUCCUAUGAAAAACCGGUUAAGGAAUUCAUGUUAGAUUGCUCAGGCAACCGCUCAGAGCAGCUAGUAAGAUCUUAUGCAAAAGCCCACGAAAAUGAAGUGUUAAAGUUCAUCCUCUGGUUUGCGUGCGCAAUUGGAGCAGUUGAGAUGGUUUGCAUCUGUAUGGUGUGGUGUUUCUUGAUGAAGGCCCAGCAAAACACCAGUACAGAUCCGCCAGGCUACAUUUUAGCUGCCACGGGAUUCAGAAAAUUCACCUAUACUGAGCUGAAGAAAGCAACACGGGGUUUCAGUGAGGAGAUUGGCAGAGGAGGAGGUGGGGUUGUAUAUAAAGGUGUCUUAUCAGAUCACCGAGUGGCAGCCAUCAAGCAGCUCAGUGGAGCUAACCAAGGAGAAUCUGAAUUCUUGGCAGAAGUAAGUACCAUUGGGAGGCUUAACCACAUGAACUUGAUAGAGAUGUGGGGUUAUUGCUUUGAGGGGAAGCACAGGCUCUUGGUUUAUGAAUACAUGGAGCAUGGAUCACUAGCACAAAACCUCACUUCCAAUACACUUGAUUGGCAGAAGAGGUUCGAUAUUGCGGUGGGCACAGCAAAAGGCCUGGCUUAUUUACACGAAGAGUGCUUGGAGUGGGUUCUACACUGCGAUGUGAAGCCUCAAAACAUACUCCUAGACGUUAAUUAUCAGCCAAAGGUGGCAGACUUCGGCCUGUCAAAGUUACAGAACAGAGGAGAAAUCAACAAUUCGAGAUUGUCGAGGAUCAGAGGAACAAGAGGUUACAUGGCUCCAGAAUGGGUUUUGAACCUCCCCAUCACCUCCAAAGUAGACGUUUAUAGCUAUGGUAUUGUGGUUCUGGAGAUGGUUACCGGCCGAAGGAGUGCUUCAAUGGCCAUCCACGGUACAGAUGGCAUAGGGGAACGUCAGAGUUUGGUGGCAUGGGUGAAAGGGAAGAUGAAUGGAGCAACUGCAGUUGCUUCGUGGAUGAAAGAAAUCCUAGACCCGUCGAUGGAAGGCGAAUAUGACAUGGGUGAGAUGGAAAUUCUAGUAGCAGUGGCUUUGCAAUGUGUGGAAUUGGACAAGGAUGAAAGACCCACCAUGAGUCAGGUGGUCGAGACGCUUCUCCGCCCCGAACGUGGAAACAAUCUUCACUACUAUUAAAUUAAUGCCUCGUAUGGGGCCCAAGUGAGGUGGCUUUCUGUACCUGUUCCGCCCAUUUAUGAUGUUUGUAAAAGAACAGAGUAAUUUUAAGUAGAAUAAUUGAGAAGCCAAAUCUUUUGAUACAACAUACAAUAUAAUUAUAUUGAAGUGUCUUUUUAAAAGAUACAACUUGGUUAUAAAUUUUAAUGUCAACCUUCUCAAAUGUUAAGUAAAAAAUUAUUUAAUUUUUUUUUAAAAAUAUCUUUAAUAUUAUGUCACUGUAUUUAAAGUAUUUUUUAAGAGGUAACUUGAUUACCAAAAUUUGAUAUUAUUUUUUAAUUCAAGUUUAUAAUUAUAAUUUAUAAAUAGUUUUUUAAUUAUUAUAAAAUACCGAACUUCUUACUAAAUCAAUUAGAAUGGAUGAUCAUCUAUUCCCUUAUAUCUCUUCAAUAUUGUUGCUACCCUCCUCCCAACUUUAUAUAAAAUAAAGAUUUUACUAAUAAAUAUUACAUAGAAUUUUAUUCCCAAUAUCUCUCCCUCGUACUCUUAUCUUACCCUCACAUAAUUUGUAACACUUCUAAGUUUUGCUCUUCAUCAUGGAACAAAUUCUUUUCUAUGUAGUAUACAUAUAUGAAAGGUAUACUACAUAUAUGAUGAAUGUGACAUUCAUUUAUUUUAAUUAUUUUUUCGGUGAUAUCAUUGCUUAGGAAAUUUUGAUGAAUGUGAAAGGGAAAUGGAAAAUUGUGGGUCACCAUAUAACAUAUAAGGACAAAAUGUAAUUUUAUUGGUCUUGCAUAGAUGGAGGUGGAAAUGGGGCAACACAUCAAAUCAGAUAUGGUGGAUGACAUGUAGAAUAAUGAUUGAAAGUGAAAUGAACGAGAGCCGCCCAGCAAAGGUCUAUUUUCAAAGUAUUUUAUUAGGUUUUUUUAUUUUAUUUUUUCAACUCAAGACCUCUUUCUGUAAAUUUAUUAUUAAAAAUAUUUGAAUCCCUAACUUUUUAUGAGUGUCUUUUCGUAAACAUGUUGACCUAAAUCAGUUGAGGUUAUGUUUGGCUCUUGGGGAAAGAAACAAAAAGACUAAAAAUAUAAUUUUUUUUUUCUCUUAUUUAUAUAUUUUUAAAUUAUUUAAUCUAAAACAAUGAAAGGUACAAAUUUUUCUAUAAUUACAAUUUAUUAAUUUUAAAUUCUUAUUUUAUUUUUAUUCAGACAUACCUUCAAUAAUUAGUAUAAAAUUAAUAUAAUGUUUCAUAUAUAAUCAAUUUACAUAUAUUAUAUAUUAUGUAUAAACACUAACAUAAUGAAUGAGAUGGUGUAUGUACAAAAAGAACGUAUGCUAGUGCAUUGGUAUAAAAUUUAAUAAAGUGUUUUAUACAUAUUUUGUAUAACUAGUAUACACCCCCUUAUACAUUGUUUCUAAAGGAAAAGAAAAUAAAUUAGAUAUAUGUGUAAAUGUGAUAUCAAUGUAUUCGUUUGGUUCGAAUCAAACAAGAAAAUUGAAAGAAAACAUUUAAAAUAUAUUUACAAUAGGAGUCUUGAAAUGUAUGUCGACAUGCAUCUCUUUUAUUAAUCAAGCAUUUUUCUACUUAACAAAAAGGUAGAAAAAUAUUUUUGUAAUGAUUUGACAUAAAAUUCAAAUAAGAAAAAAAAUAAUGUUAACAAAUAAUUUUAAUUACUGAAAAAUAAUAUUUGCAAACAUUCCUUCUUGAUAGUUGAUUGGAUUUUACAAUACACUAAUGAAACAUAUAUAUUAUGUGAAGCCUUGGACUUAUUUCACAUUUAAUUUCUUCAAAUUUUAAUGCUACAAACUAAACAUUUGUACAAAUGGUACAAGUUAGUAUCUUUUUAUGUAAUUAAUUAUUGUGAAGACAUUUUAUCUUUUUCAUUUACCCAAGAAUAAUCAUACUAAUAUAUACAAAUAAUAGUUAUACUAAUAUAAACAAAUAAUUUUGAUCAUGCCCAAAUAAAAUACAUUUUUAUAAAAUUUAGAUUUAAUUUUAUAGUAUAUGACAUAGAUUCUUUUUCUUCUUCUUCUUUCUUCUUUGCUUUAUCUCAUGUGGUUGGAUUUGGAGCAUGGACCGUUUGUAUUAUUCAAUUGUGAAAGACCAAUUUCAUUGAGUUGAAAGACCAAUGGGCCAUGGGGAGCAAUGCUUGCUUCACUUAAUUUUUUAAAACUCGUUUUUAGUAGUACAAAAUUUUUUAUCAUGUGAAGUAUGGAUGUUAUUAUCUUUUUAUAUUAAUUUUAUUUUCCUUCCCUUUUUUUAUAUUGAUUUUAUAAAAACAUAUAUGAGGAUAUUAUUUCACUAAAAACAUAUCAUAUGCAUAUAGCUUAACAUGCAACAUUUUCAUACAUAAUCAAAGAUGGAUUUUUUUUUUUUUUUAAUCACUUUUUCUCCCUUUUUUCUUUUCUUUGUAUUUUCUCAUAUACAAACACGGCUUAGAAUUUACUCACAAACAAAGUGUUAUGUUACUUUUAUGGGCAUCGAAUUUAAAGACUUGGCAUGCCGUCAUGUACAUAAGACACAAGUAGAAAGUCUCAUAUUGAAAAUUUAAUUCAUUUAAGCGUACCAUUUUUUUUUGUGAUCAUGGGUCUAAAUAUUAGCGGGGAAAGAGGCGAAUUGACGUUAUAGAAGGCCUAACGCUCAUGUUUUGUAUUUAUUAAUCAUUUAUUGAUGUGAUAAAAAAUUUGUAAUUCAAAAUUUGAUUUUAUCAAGUGAAGUACCCGAUAAACAAAAAUGGAGGAACGUAAAGGGAGGAAAAAAAAGGUGAAACGAAGACAUAUCCCAAAACACUAAUGGCCUAUCCCCUAAAAAUUCUAGCUUUAGAAUUAUUGUCCUAAAAGAAAAAGAUGAGCAAGUGUUUUCUCACGUCAUGGAGUUAUUAUAUAAUGUUAAAAAACUAAAGUAUUGUUUGCUUUCUUAAUUUUUUAUUUUGGUUUUUUUUUAAAACCUUUUGUUAACUUAUUAUUUAUUUCUCAAAAUUUUUUAUUAAAUAAAAAAAUAUAUGAUUUCUUCUAAAUAUUAAAAAUAAUUUAUUAAUUUUUUUUACUUAUUUAAUAGAAAUAAAAUAUAAAAAAAAUAAUUUAAUAUUUGAUAUUAUUAACCAUUAUUUAAUUUUAAAAUUUAUUUAAAAUUAAGUAAAAAACCAAACAUUAAAUGUCUUCAUUGCAAUGUUGGACGUUAUCUACUCUACUCUUUUAUAAAAUCUUUUAUUUUAGAAAAUUUUAGUCUCCAAAGUAGACAUGAGAGAAAUAACAAUUGUGUUAAAUUUAAUUGAAAUAAGUAAAUAAUAAAAAACACUUGAAUGGAUUAAGGACCAAUUUUUUUUAUGCCAAGGGAAGAUGGUGGUGAUAUAUUGACUUGAGUAAGAAUUUCGUAAUUUCUCAAAAGAAAGAUAAAGAGGAAAAAACAACAUUUAUUAAAAGAUAUAUACAUUAGGAUAUCAUAUUCAAAUUUAGUAUUUUUCAAACUGCACCGUUUCGUUUUUCACUUCAUCUAAUUUUACCUUCAAUUCAUUUUUUUUCCUAUUUUAUUUCUUGAAACAUGUAUUGACUAAAGCCUCUGUACCAAUGUUUCAGGACAUGGAGAGGUAGCCGUCCUCCUCCGGCCUCUCCUCCGGGCACAUAAGCUUCUCAACUAUCUGGCUCAUCGUGGGUCUUGAGUCCCUGUCUUCCUCCACACAUUCCAAGGCAACUCCAAUCAGAAUUUCCAUCCGGCGCAGGUCGCAUUCGCCUUGCAUCACAGGGUCCAGGAUGUCUUCAAUCCACGACCCCCUGGCACCAAUCCCAUUCAUUCGAUCCCUCACCCAUUUAAUCAACCCACGCUGCUCUGUCUCUCCUUGGGCAUCAGUAUCGGGGAUAGCAGUUGGGCUCUUCCCUGUCACCAUCUCCAAAACCACGAUUCCAUAGCUAUAAACGUCUACCUUGGAGGUUAUGGGAAGGUUGAAUACCCAUUCAGGAGCCAUGUAUCCUCUGGUUCCUCUGAUCCUCGAGAAACUUGAAUUGUCAAGCCCUCCUCUGUUUCGCAGUUUCGACAUCCCAAAAUCGGCCACUUUUGGCUGGUAAUUAGAGUCCAAGAGUAUGUUCUGAGGCUUGACAUCACAGUGCAGAACCCACUCCAAGCAUUCUUCGUGUAAAUAAGCUAGGCCUCUGGCCGUGCCAAGCGCUAUUUGGAACCUCUUCUCCCAAUCAAGAGUAUUGGAAGAUAGCUUUUGUGCCAAGGAUCCAUGUUCCAUGUACUCAUACACCAACAGCCGGUGCUUCCCCUCUAUGCAAUAUCCCCACGUCUCUAUUAAGUUCAUGUGAUUAAGCCUUCCAAUGGUGCUCACUUCUGCUAGAAAUUCUGCUUCUCCUUGAUUGGCUUCUUUGAGGCGCUUGAUUGCUGCCACUCGACGAUCAAGCAAUACACCUUUAUAUACCACUCCUCCACCUCCUCUUCCAAUCUCUUGGGUGAAACCUCGCGUGGCCUUCUUCAACUCUGCAUAGCUGAAUCUUUUAAACCCGUUUGCAACGAGGAUGUAGCCUUGCAUGGUCGAGACUGGAUCAUGGUGUACCCAAAAUAAGAAAAGCCAUACCAGCAAGACAAUUGCCCCCUCUAGAACUCCCAGUACGUAGGCAAACCACAGCAAAAACUUCAAUGACCCAUUUUCGUGGCCCUUGCGAUAUGUUGUAUCUAGCUGUAUAUAACGAGUGUUGCCUGAACAAUUUAUGGUGAAUUCUUCAAGAGGAUCAUAUCUGGGAAAGAGACUAGCUUUAGGCAGUUUUAGAUACAUGGUUCCAGGAUAAUUUGGCGAACUGAAUCCAUUAAGCAAGAGGGUCUUUGGGUAACAACCGUAAAGGCCGUCGCUAAAAUUUAGCAGGAAGGCCUUGCAUUUGCACAACUGUAAGCAUAGAUUUUCACAGCUUUCAUAGGUGUAAUUGGGGUAGUGACCAUAGUCAUAGCCGUAGAGUUGAACAUGAGGGAGUGGGAAGAAGCCCACCUCAGUUUGGUUACAAGCGAUAUCAGUUUCUGGUGCGCACCCAUAAGACCAGUCAGUUGAAUUUACAAUCUUGAAUCCAGGCAUGCAAGAGCAUCCUCUGCCAUAAGCAGGGGUGUAACUGCAGAGACUGUUGGGUCCGCAGAUGCCAUGAAUCUGGCAUGGUUGGGAGAUAGCCUGCCAUGAAACCGACCAGGUUCCUCUCGUUUCUUCUAGACUAUACAUUCUAAGAUUGCCAUCGAAAUCGAGGGCCAAUCUUCUCUGAGGCCCCGCACCAAAAUCCGCUGACCGAAAUUCCAAAUCAUCUGAUGCUCUAUAAUAACCCAAAGAAUCGAAUACUGCGAUUCGACUGUUGUUGUAUGUGCUUCUUCCAGCAUCCCAGGUCACCAGGCUUGGGUCUGGCCAGUAGAUGCUGGAAACCUCAGUACCAUUGAAGAGAAGGCGGAUGACGUUAUCACUGUCAAAAAAUAGCUUAUAAAAACCAGAAGAAUAGUUGCUUUGGCUUCUUGAGGAGAUAAGGCUGGUAUCUUUGGUCAGUAUCUGGUGAGGAAGAAGAGUAUCUGUGGGUGAGUCAAAGCUCUGCCAAAUCACCGUCUUCUCCCAAGCAUAUAGAACAAGAUUGCCGGUGUUAAGGAGCUGUAAUCUCGCAGAUGAGGUUGAAACGGUGUUGAUCAUCCAAACCAUGAUUUUACCAGCAUCAGUUAAGAGGAGAUUGCCAUUCCUCAACAAAGAAAGCUUGGAGCCUCUACCGUUGACCGGUUGGUCACGGUUCGCCAUCCAAACUGUGGUUGCACCCCAUGAUUUUGUAAACCAUAUGGCGAAGCAGAAAGUGUUGUUGCCGACCUGAUAAAACCCAGCAGAGAAUAUACCAUUUGCUGAAAUGAGAAGAUCAUUUGAUUUCUCCACGGAAAGAGACGAGCCUUCGCUCAGAGUAUCAUACGUUUCAGAUGAAGAUGGAUAGCAAGUUAAUAGCAAAGCCAAAACAAAGAAACCAACUGUCCUAUCCAUGAGUUUUGGGAUAUGGUUUAUGUGCUCUGUUUCCUGAUCAGAUAUUUGCAAUGGAGAAUGCAAGUGUACGGUGCUACCAGAGUUUAGAAAAUAAAUUGACUCCUUGACUGGGGUGAAGGGGGGAAAUUCACAUUGCCCCUCGGGCCAAGUUUUGCUUGUGCCAUCGUGUUGGGUUUCUAAAAGCAUUUCAUGUCAACGUCAAAAUAAUGGGAUGAAGACCCGCUAUUUUUAAUGGGAUCUAUUUUGAUUGGAUGACUUGGGCCAUUCAAAUUUUGUAGUUUCCACUUGGAACAACAAAAUUAUUAUGAGAUACGUCAUUUUGAAGAAAGAUUCUAGAAAUAAGAUGUUAAAUUGAUCUCUUUUCCAUGUAGCUGAACUCGUCAACUGUGAGUCUGAGCCAUAUGAUUUCUGUGCCAUACAGAAGCUUAUUGUUCCAAGUUGCCUGUUCAAAGGUUGACCUGUGAACAGUUUGGAUCCAAAUACAAUGAAUGUGAUGAAAUUUACUGAAACCGGGACUCUCUGACUGGCCUGUGGCCUUUAUGAGUUUUAUUUUAGAGGUGACGUCUGAUGUUGAUUGGCCCAAGCAGGGAAAGAUCAAAUGGGAAACGACGGUCACAACUUGUGGGGUGACUUACCAUUCACCAAGUAACACUUCAAAGAAAUUAAUCGAGCCAAUGGAUUUCACAAGUUCCCUCUUUGCAGAAUUUUGAAUAUUUAAAAAGAAUCUUAACUUUUAAAACCUAAAUUUAUAGUUAAUUUUUAGGUGUAAUUGUGUUUUGGAUGUAGUUGGACCAAAAAAAUUAAGUUUUGAUUCAUAUAAGUUUAUCAUUUAAGUCCAAUACUUAAAGAAAGUAUGAAAAUUAAAAAAAAUGAUAUGAAUUUUUUAUCUUUCUAAAAAUGAUAUUUAUUGACUAUGAAAAAAAUAAGUAGAAAAACAUUAAUUUAAAUUUUAUUCUUUUUAUAAACUUCAAUAAAAUUUAAUUUCAUUUAAUGAUUUGAAAAAAAAAACACCAUUUUAAAAAAAAUAAUAAUAAAUUAUUAUUAUUAUUAUUAUUAUUUAAAAAUCAAACAUAUUGAAAAAAAUAUAUUUUUAAAAUUAUAUAUGUAAAAAAUAACUAAAAACAUGUCAAAAUUUUUUUAAAAAUGAUAUAUUUUUAGAAUAUUUUUUUUUAAAAAAAAUAGUUUUCUUAAAAUAAUAAAUUUUCAGAAUAAUUAUUAAAAAAAAUUAAGAUAAAAAAGUUUGUCAAACAUUAUAAUAGAAAACACUCAAAAUAGUUUUGAAGGGUAUAUGAGUGUUUUCAUAUUUUAUAUCCUUCCCCUUGAUUAUGCCCAGAUAGAUCCAAAACAUUAUUAUCCCUAAUUUUUAAACGCUUAAUUAUUGCGAUUUGAGGGUAAAACAUUUUCUUUUAUUCAAUCAAGAUUGAAUUUAAAAUAAUAGCGUUGGUAUUACUCCCUCUCUUUUAUCCUUUUCUUAUUCUAUCUAAUAGUUGUUUUCUCGCCGCCUUUGUGGGCCAAGAUGAACUAAUGCUAAGAAUUUUAUUCAUCUGCUUUCUUUCAAGACUCACUUAUUGAAUAUAAUAUCUCAAUAAAUAUGGAACCUGAUUUUGAUUAUAUUGGUACAAUUAUUGAUACAACUGUUGGCUCCGCUCAUUUUGAUUAUAUUGGUACAAUUUUAUUCAUCCUAACCUCUAUGUCAACAGGACCACUAAACUUAAGAAAAAACACUAAAUUUUGAAUUUUUAACUUCUAAAAAAAAACACCCGACCCGACUACCUAAUCUAAAUGUUUUCCUUUCUCAUUUGAAAGUUUUCUCUCAUCUUUUUUCACUCAUGACAACCCAAAAUUUCUCUUAUUUCAAUUUAGAAACCCAAAACUGAAACUCCAAAGCGGUGUCAAAAUGCCUCUUUCGACAUGCCUCUGGCUGAGACGCCUCAGCUAGGCGCUUGCCUUGAGCCCUAACUACAGUUAACUCUCGUCUAGGAGCUAUGGGAGUCUAAGACAAUUCGGUAAAAACGAAAUAGAGCUCAGAUGGAGAGAGUAGAUGCCCAAAAACUAAAACCCUAACCUCCAAAUGCGUCCUAAACUCGCAAAUUCGUAUUCAAUAUAGCUUUAUCAGACAUAAAUAGCACCAAACAUCUCUCUUAGACCACCGAAUCGACAAAGCCCUUGAAGAACCAAAGGAAACGGUGCAAAAAAUGAAGCGCAGGAGACUUUUAAAGUAUUGGGUGUUGACGAACUUGUUGAUCGAACCUUGAUCGGUCACCUUUGGUAUUUUGGUGACUGCACCUUAGAUACUACCUUAACUAACCUUUGGUACUACCUUAGUUAAACUUGAAUACUACUUGUGUGAAACCUCAGAACUUCAUUUGUGGAUAUGACUCACUUCAUUUGUGACCUUUAGAGCAUGUCAUUUUGUAAUUAAUUAGUGUGGUCAAUUGGUUCACCUUUUGUAUUUUAGUGACUGUACCUUAGACAUUACCUUAAUAGCCCUAAGAUAUAACCUUAAUUUACCUUAAAUACUACCUUAAUUGACCUUAGGUACUACUUUAGUUAAGCUCAUUCAACUUUCUAAGAGCAAGUUGGUGUCCUUUUCAGUUUUAGACAUAAAAUAGGUCAACCGGUUAUCCUUUCUCGAUCAAGGUUUGGUUGAGAAUGAAGUAAGUAAUAUCCACAAAUGAAAUUCCGAGGCUUCAGAUAGGUAGUACCCAAGUUUUACUAAGGUAGUACAUAAGGUUGGUUAAGAUAGUAUCUAAAAAAAAUAUAUGCCAUGAUAAAAGAAAUCCACCAUGAUAAUCCGUUGGGAGAAAAAUCGAUAGAAAAUCGGUAAUUUCACUGAAAAAUCAACGAAAUCUCGGUGAUAAGUUGGGAUGUAUGGCAACUUUGGGCAAUCAGUGGUAUAAAAAAAAUUGUGGUGAAAUAUUAGCAACCCAUUUUUUUGGUGGCAGUUUUUUUUUUUUUUUUAAUUUUAUAAUUUAUCCUGUUUUUAAAAUUUUUAAUUAUUCAUUUUUAAUUUAUCAUUUCAUUUUUAACUAUUUUUUAUAUUUAUCACAUUAAUUUUAUUUAAAAAAAUUACUAUCACUUCACUCUUAAUUUUUCUUAUAUUUAUCCUUUUAAUUUUAUUUAAUUUUAAAUGUUUUUGUUUUAAAAUAUUAAAAAUAUAAUUUUACUAAAAAAUUGUUACAAUAAAAAAAAUUAAUGAAGUUCUAAUAUUUUAUAAAUUAAAAUUAAUUUAAUAAAACAAAUUAUUAAUAAUUUUAAUUAUUAAAAUAAAUUAAUUUUAAUAGAAAAAGUUGUCAAUAUUUGUAAUAAAAUUUUAGAAAUUAAAUCUUAAAUAAAAUAUGUUAUAUAAAUCAAUUUAAUUUUUUAUUUACAAUGUAAUAAAACAUGGUUUAAUAAAAAUAUUUUUAAAAUGUUAAAAUAAAUUAAUAUAAAUAUAUUAAAGGAAAUUAAGCUAUUUUUUUAUGAAAAUUUGAUAAAUAUUAUCUUUAAUCAUGUUUGGUAGUUACAAAAUAAUUUUAAUAUAUAUAUUUUUUUAUUUCAUCAUAUUUUUGAAAGCUUUUUAUAUGAAUUUUGAACUACUUGUGUUUGAUAUGAUAUUUUUGUCAAAAUAUUCAUCGAUAUUUAUUCGAUAUUUUCGAUAUAUCCAUAAAAUUUAAAUACCAUGUAUCCAUAUUUAACGAUAUAUUUCUAACAUUUGAGUUGAUGGGAAAUGUGAAUGAGAUUAAGAAAAAUAGAGAAUGUUGAGUUUUAAUUGGUUAUAAGAAAUGAAAUAAUUCUCAAAUCCAAAAUUUAACGAUUCCCAUAUUUUUUUUGUGGAAAAAUAACUUUUUUUUUUAUAUAUAUAUAAAUGUUAUUUUUUAUUUCAAAUAUAAUGUGAAUGAGAUUAAGAAAAAUAGAGAAUGUUGAGUUUUAAUUGGUUAUAAGAAAUGAAAUAAUUCUCAAAUCCAAAAUUUAACCAUUUCCAUAUUUUUUUGUGGAAAAAUAACUUUUUUAUAUAUAUAUAUAUAUAAAUGUUAUUUUUUAUUUCAAAUAUCUAUAUAUAAGUUUUAAAAAAAAUAAUUAUUUUUAUAAGAAAAUAAUGAGGAUAUUUUUAUCUAAAUGAUCUCAAAAAAAAAAAUACCUAAAGAUAUUUUUGUAUGAUGUCUUGUCCAUCAUAAAAAAAAUUACUCAGGGAGGGUGUAGUUUGGUAAAGAGACCGAGCUCGUGGAUGGAAGCUCUGGCCCACAUCCGAAGAUUUCAUAACGACGUAUAAAGUAUAAACUAUCCUAGGCCUUCGCUUAUAACUUCAUUUGUGUGUUCCUUCCCAGAAUUUGAUUCAAGGUUCGCCCUACAGCCUUUUCAGCUGAUCCAAUUUCAUAGAUUACAUGGAUGCGCCAGUUCUUUUGCUUCUUCUCGCUCUGCUUCUAUCUUCUCCACUUCCAUCGUCUACCCUCGACAGUUUGAGUCAAGGCUCAUCCCUAUCAGUUGGGAAGCCUGAACAAGUUUUAAUUUCACAAAGUAGAAUCUUUUCAGCCGGCUUCUACCCCGUCGGUGACAAUGCUUAUUGUCUUGCCAUGUGGUUCACCAAACCAUCCUACGACGGGAAACAUACGGUUGUUUGGAUGGCAAACCGAAACCAACCAGUUAAUGGGAAUUUCUCAAAGCUUUCCCUGCUAAAAAAUGGUGAUCUUAUCUUAACAGAUGCCGGGCGGUUCAUAGUUUGGGCCACAAAGACGGUUGGGAUUUCUCCGGUGCGAUUACAUCUCUUCAAAUAAAAUACUUGACAGUGGCAUGUUGUGUUGGACCCUUGUAGUUGUUGGUUGUACAGGGCGGAUCCGCUUGAUUAGCUUUUGUAGCAUAUUGUAAGCAUGCAUGGCUCUCAAAAUCUUAAGAGACAGAAAUGAAAUUUACUCUAAUAAUAUAUAUAGACACGUAAAGAUAAAAAUAUACUAUUAUCCUUUUUCAUAUAGUAUUGUAUCUUGUAUAGAAUACAUAAUCACUUGAAGUAAUUGUAUUACCCAAUAAAUUGUACCUAGUUUUAGUGACGUAACCAACAAUUUGAUUUAAGGGUGGCAACUAUUAAUGCAUAUAUAGGCCUUAGCUCAAUAGUCAAGACUUGUUAUUGUUAAGGGAGACAUUAUCUGUCUUGAGUUCAAAUUCUUAUAUUGUAAAAAUUGAAUCUUUUAUUUUUUAGCAUUUUCAUGAGGAGAGAUGACCCCCAUAGGCUCUAUCUGGCUCUAUGUCAAUGCCUAGUUUAUUGAUCGAUGGUGUUUGAAUCUAUUUAUUUUUUAUUCUUAACAUUUUCAAGGGGUAGGUGCCCCUUAGGCCUUACCCAGCUCUACUUGUAUCUAGUUUAUUGAUUGAUGGUGUUUGAAUCUAUUCAUUAUAAAAUUUUCUUAUUUUUUAUUUUAGUUAAUAUUUUAUUUAAAUUGUUAAGCUUGUUUUCAAUGAUUAAAAUAAAUAAAAACAGCAUGCAUUAUUAAUUUAUUACGUCAAGUACAAUAAAAUAAGAAAAUAAUAUACUUGGCUAAAUAAGUUCAUUCAAUAGUAUUUCAGAAAGUAACUUUCAAAUGAUAAGGAAGUAACAAUAUUACACAAAAAAAAAAAAGUUCUCUGAGGUUAAAUUAUAUCUUAUAUUUAAUUAUUAAUAAAAAUAGAAUAGUCAAUUGUACUUUUAUUCAUACCUCAUAUUACUAUAUUAGAUGAUAAGCCAGUAUAGAUAGAUUAAUACUAUGAUUGGUUUCAAAAAAUUAUUAAGAAAAGAAAAAGAAUAUUAAGAAAAAUAGGUUUUUAAUAUCUUAUUUUAGUAUAAAAAUAAAAAAUAAGAUAUAAUUAAAAUUAAUUAAAAACUUACAUAUUUUUAAAUUAUUUGAUAUUUAUAUAAAAAAUAAUAUAUUAACUUAAAUGAGUUUAAGAUGGUAUAUAAAAUAAUUUAUCAGCUUUAAAUUUUUUUUUUUUUUACUUUUACAUGAUACUUAAAAAGGUAUAUAAAUAGAGAAACAGUAUACUAAAUAAAAUAAUUUUAUCUAUAUAUAAAAAUAAUUUAUUAAUUUAAAAUCUAUUUUUAUUUCCUUUUAACUUUUCUUUCCUUUCUUUUUCCAUAUUUUCCAAAUACUUCACAGAGCACUCCACUCCCUUUUUUUUUUUCUUUUUUUUUUCUUUUUUACCUCAAAAUUUCAGAAACCAAACAUAAAAAUACAAACACAGGUGUAAAGUUUGUAUCUUUGUGAAACUCAUGUAAUCCUGACCCAUGGGAACCUUCCCAUACAAUUAAUUUCCUGCAAAGGAAGGCGGCAGCAACAUGUCAUUGGGUGAGCGUCUUAGGAGACAAAAUCUGACCAGCGGUUGAAGGAAAAAUGCACAAUUUAACUUAUCUGUGGAAGCUUGCCCAGCUGGGUCGUUUUCCAAAACACGAGGCUGCAGCUUGGAACCUGGGGCAUUCAUAUUCCAUCAUCAUCAUUAUUAACAUUUUUAUUCCAUCUAGCUUUCACCUUCCCAUGGGAAUUGCUACCAUCCGCACAAGUCAAGAGCGACUUUGUCUUUUCCAUAAAUAUUAGUAUUAUUUGUGUGUUCCUUCCCAGAAUUUGAUUCAAGCUCAGCCCUACGGCCUUUUCAACUGAUCCAACUUCAUAGAUGACAUGGAUGCGCCAGUUCUUUUGCUUCUUCUCACUCUGCUUCUAUCUUCUCCACUUCCAUCGUCCACCCUCGACAGUUUGAGUCAAGGCUCAUCCCUCUCAGUUGGAAAGCCUGAACAAGUUUUGAUUUCACAAAGUGGAAUCUUCUCAGCUGGCUUCUACCCCGUCGGUGAUAAUGCUUAUUGUCUUGCCAUAUGGUUCACCAAACCAUCCUACGACGGCAAACAUACCGCUGUUUGGAUGGCAAACCGAAACCAACCAGUUAAUGGGAAUUUCUCAAAGCUUUCGCUGCUAGAAAGUGGUGAUCUUAUCUUAACAGAUGCUGGGCGGUUCAUAGUUUGGACCAUAAAGAGGGUUGGGAUUUCUCCGGUGCAAUUACACCUCUUCAACACUGGUAACCUUGUGCUGCGUACCUCGGAUGGUGUUAUUCAAUGGCAAAGUUUCGAUUCACCAACAGAUACCCUUCUCCCUCACCAACCACUCACCAGAAAUACGAGACUCGUCUCUUCAAGAACCAAAACCAACUUUUUCUCAGGGUUUUAUAAGCUCUAUUUUGACAACAAUAACGUCCUCAGUCUUGUCUUCGAUGGGCGGGACGCUUCAAGCAUUUACUGGCCCCCAUCGUGGCUUGUAAGCUGGCAGGCGGGAAGAUCGGCAUACAACAGCAGCAGAACUGCAUUACUAGAUAACUUUGGCUAUUUUUCUUCAUCCGACGAUUUUAAGUUUCAGUCCUCGGAUUUUGGUGAGAGAGUCCAAAGAAGAUUGACCCUGGAUAUUGAUGGCAACUUACGAUUAUACAGUUUUGAGGAAAGGAGAAAUAAGUGGGUUGUUACUUGGCAAGCCAUCACGCUACAAUGCAACAUUCAUGGAAUAUGCGGACCCAACAGUAUUUGUACCUAUGUGCCUGGUUCUGGGAGUGGAAGGAGAUGCUCUUGCAUACCUGGAUAUGAGAUGAAAAAUCGCACUGACCGAACUUAUGGAUGCAUACCUAAAUUCAAUCUUUCUUGCGACUCACAGAAGGUUGGUUUCCUCCUACUCCCACACGUUGAGUUCUACGGCUAUGAUUAUGGCUAUUACCCCAAUUACACCUUACAGAUGUGUGAAAAACUGUGCUUGGAAAUAUGUGGCUGCAUAGGAUAUCAAUACAGCUAUAAUUCGGAUGUUUAUAAAUGUUAUCCUAAGCGGCUGUUGCUCAACGGAUACCGCUCGCCUAGUUUUGUAGGACAUAUAUACCUAAAAUUGCCUAAAGCUAGUCUUCUUUCCUAUGAAAAACCGGUUAAGGAAUUCAUGUUAGAUUGCUCUGGCAACCGCUCAGAGCAGCUAGUAAGAUCUUAUGCAAAAGCCCACGAAAAUGAAGUGUUAAAGUUCAUCCUCUGGUUUGCGUGCGCAAUUGGAGCAGUUGAGAUGGUUUGCAUUUGUAUGGUGUGGUGUUUCUUGAUGAAGGCCCAGCAAAACACCAGUACAGAUCCGCCAGGCUACAUUUUAGCUGCCACGGGAUUCAGAAAAUUCACCUAUACUGAGCUGAAGAAAGCAACACGGGGUUUCAGUGAGGAGAUUGGCAGAGGAGGAGGUGGGGUUGUAUACAAAGGUGUCUUAUCAGACCACCGAGUGGCAGCCAUCAAGCAGCUCAGUGGAGCUAACCAAGGAGAAUCUGAAUUCUUGGCAGAAGUAAGUACCAUUGGGAGGCUUAACCACAUGAACUUGAUAGAGAUGUGGGGUUAUUGCUUUGAGGGGAAGCACAGGCUCUUGGUUUAUGAAUACAUGGAGCAUGGAUCACUAGCACAAAACCUCACUUCCAAUACACUUGAUUGGCAGAAGAGGUUCGACAUUGCGGUGGGCACAGCAAAAGGCCUGGCUUAUUUACACGAAGAGUGCUUGGAGUGGGUUCUACACUGCGAUGUGAAGCCUCAAAACAUACUCCUAGACGUUAAUUAUCAGCCAAAGGUGGCAGACUUCGGCCUGUCAAAGUUACAGAACAGAGGAGAAAUCAACAAUUCGAGAUUGUCGAGGAUCAGAGGAACAAGAGGUUACAUGGCUCCAGAAUGGGUUUUGAACCUCCCCAUCACCUCCAAAGUAGACGUUUAUAGCUAUGGUAUUGUGGUUCUGGAGAUGGUUACCGGCCGAAGGAGUGCUUCAAUGGCCAUCCACGGUACAGAUGGCAUAGGGGAACGUCAGAGUUUGGUGGCAUGGGUGAAAGGGAAGAUGAAUGGAGCAACUGCGGUUGCUUCGUGGAUGAAAGAAAUCCUAGACCCGUCGAUGGAAGGCGAAUAUGACAUGGGUGAGAUGGAAAUUCUAGUAGCAGUGGCUUUGCAAUGUGUGGAAUUGGACAAGGAUGAAAGACCCACCAUGAGUCAGGUGGUCGAGACGCUUCUCCGCCCCGAACGUGGAAACAAUCAUCACUACUAAUAAAUUAAUGCCUCGUAUGGGGCCCAAGUGAGGUGGCUUUCUGUACCUGUUCCGCCCAUUUAUGAUAUUUGUAAAAAGACAGUAAUUUUAAGUAGAAUAAUUGAGAAGCCGAAUCUUUUGAUACAACAUACAAUAUAAUUAUAUUGAAGUAUCUUUUUAAAAGAUACAACUUGGUUAUAAAUUUUAAUGUCAAUCUUCUCGAAUGUUAAGUAAAAAAUUGUUUAAUUUUUUUAGAAAAUCUUUAAUAUUAUGUCACUAUAUUUAAAGUAUUUUUUAAGAGGUUAUCAAAAUUUGAUAUUAUUUUUUAAUUCAAAUUUAUAAUUAUAAUUUAUAAAUAGUUUUUUAAUUAUUAUAAAAUACCGGACUUCUUACUAGAUCAAUUAGAAUGGACGAUCAUCUAUUCCUCUAUAUCUCUUCAAUAUUGUUGCUAUCCUCCUCCCAACUUUAUAUAAAAUAAAAAUUUUACUAAUAAAUAUUACAUGGAAUUUUGUUCCCAAUAUCUCUCCUUCGUACUCUUAUCUUAUUAAACUCUUCUUUUACAAUAUUAAUUGAUAUAUUUUAGGUAUUUGUAUGUUAGUGAAUUAAUUUAAAUAUCGUAGGUUUUGACUUUUGGGACAACCAUUUUAGAGAGCUCAUACAUCACGCACUACCACCUCAACCUUCUUUGACAUUCAUUUAUUUAUUUUUAUUACCUUUCGAUCGGUGAUAUCAUUGCUUAGGAACAAUAAUUAUUGUGAAGGCAUUUUAUCUUUUUCGUUUACCCAAGAAUAAUCAUACUAAUAUAAACAAAUAAUUUUGAUCAUGCACAAAUAAAUAUAUUUUUAUAAAAUUUAGAUUUAAUUUUUUAGUAUAUGACAUAGAUUCUUCUUCUUCUCCUUUGCUAAAUCUCAUGUGGUUGGAUUUGGAGCAUCGACUGUACGUAUUAUUCAAUUGUGAAAGACAAAUUUCAUUGAGUUGAAAGACCAAUGGGCCAUGGACGCAAUGCUUGCUUCACUUAAUUUUUUAAAACUCGUUUUUAGUAGUACAAAUUUUUUUAUUAUAUAAAGUAUUGAUGUUAUUAUCUUUUUAUAUUAAUUUUAUUUUUCUUCCAUUUUUUAUAUUGAUUUUAUAAAAACAUAUCUUGGGAUAUUAUUUCACUAAAAACAUAUCAUAUGCAUAACCGUUUAACAUGCAAUUUUUUCAUACAUAAUCAAAGAUAGACUUUUUUUUCCUUUUACUUUUUUUCCUUCUUUUUUUUUUUUUGGUAUUUUGUCGUAAACAAACACGGUCUUAGAAUUUAAUCACAAACAAAGUAUUAUGUUACUUUUAAUCAAAUUUAAGGACUUGGCAUGCCUGUCAUGUACUUUAGACACAAAUGAAAAGUUUGAGGUCUCCUAUUGAAAAUUUAAUUCAUUCCAGUAUACCAUAUUAUUAUUAUUAUUAUUAUUUUGGUGAUCAUGGGUAUAAAUAUUACUAGGAAAAAAGGCAAAUUGACGUAAUAGAAGGCCUAACGGCUCAUGUUUUGUAUUUAUUUAAAUUAGUAUUUAUUAAUCAUUUAUUGAUGUGAUAAAAAAUUUGUAAUUCAAAAUUUGAUUUUAUCAAGUGAAGUACCCGAUAAACAGAAACGGAGGAACCUAAAGGGAGGGAAAAAAAAAAGGUGAAAUGAAGACACAUCCAAAAACCCUAAUGGCCUAUUGUCACACCCUCGAAAAUCACCUUAAAUUUUUCUUACGAGUGCGUGGUGCUAAGGACCCGUCCUUAGCCAACCUUCCCUUCCCAACGUUUAGAAGAACAGAAUAGAAUACAGAAAUCAAAGCAACAGGGACACACGAGGUUGCAGGAAAAUCCUUUCCCAACUUGUAUUAAUCACUCUUACAAGACAAAAUUGCUUCUUGAACUAGAGUACAAUGCACUUACCCAAGGCAUACAAGAAGGAAUCCUUUCCCCAACUCUCACCCUCUGUUUCAAGGCUGCAGGAGCCCUAUUUAAAUGACUCAUCUACAGUUACACAUUUGAAUUCCCUCAAUUCAAAUCUUGGAGCCAACUAGGUGGUCAUGCAACUGGCCAGAACUGCCCUCAACUGCUUGCACAACCACCCACUGUGGAUUCGGCUCCUUGCGACACGUGGCAUCGCGCAUUUCACCCGGACGGAAAUUCUCCCUUAUUCCACCCGAAUAUCUCAUAUCCGGAAUUCUGUCCGCUGACGUUCCACUCGGAUAUCUCACAUCCGGCGCCUGUCCGCCGCCGUUCCACUCGGAUAUCUUACAUCUGGCGCCUGUCCACCGUUGUUCCACCCGAAUAUCUCUCAUCCGACGCCCCAUGUCAUCGGAUAGGAGAGGAGGACGAUUCAACUUCCCCAGGUAGACAUGUCCGAAUCCUUUGGUAACGCCUAUUCGGGGUGCGCGCAUGACUUGUCCACGAUCCCCACACUUAGCUCCUGGGGUUUGAACCACAAAACCUCCAGGCUUUCCUUGCUUUCCACCUAGGCUCUCAUAGGUGCAAGACCUACCCAUGAGGCUUAUUUCUCCGGGUUUGAAUCAAGUGGAUAAGGGGUUGACACAUAUCCCCUAAAAAUUCUAGCUUUAGAAUUAUUGUCCUAGAAGAAAAAGACGAGCAAGUGUUUUCUCACAUCAUGGAGUUACUAUAUAACGUUAAAAAACUAAAGUAUUGUUUGUUUUCUUAAUUUUUUAUUUCGGUUUUUUUUAAACCUUUCAUUAACUUAUUAUUUACUUCUUAAAUUUUUUUAUUAAAUAAAAAAUUUUAAAUAUAUAAAAUUUUUAAAUAUUGAAAAUAAUUCAUUAAUUUUUCUUUACUUAUUUAAUAAAAAUAAAAUAUAAAAAAUGAACAAUUUAAUACUUAAUAUUAUUAAAUACUAUUUAAUUUUAAAUUUUAUUUAAAAUUAAGUUAAAAAGAAACACCAUUUAAAUGUCUUCAUUGUGUGUUGGACAUUAUCAACUCUACUCUUUUAUAAAAAAAUUUAUUUUAGGAAAUUUUAGUUUCCAAAUGAAGUAGGUUUAUAAACAUAUCAAUUGCCUUAAAUUUAAUUGAAAUAAAUAAACAAUAAAAAAACACUUGAAUUGAUUAAGGAACAAUUUUUUUAUGCCAAGGGAAGAUGGUGGUGAUAUAUUGAUUUGAGUAAGGAUUUCAUAAUUUCUCAAAAGAAAGAGAAAGAGGAAAAAGCAAGAUUUAUUAAAAGAUAGAUACAUUAGGAUAUCAUAUUCGAAUUUAGUAUUUUUGUUUUCUCUUCUUUAUAAAACUAAAUAAUAGAAAUCAAAUACUUUUACCAACUUCGCAUACUGCACCGUUUCGUUUUUCACUUCGUCUAAUUUUACCUUCAAUUCAUUUGUUUCCUAUUUUAUUUCUUGAAACAUGUAUUGACUAAAGCCUCUGUACCAAUGUUUCAGGACAUGGAGAGGUAGCCGUCCUCCUCCGGCCUCUCCUCCGGUCACAUAAGCUUCUCAACUAUCUGGCUCAUCGUGGGUCUUGAGUCCCUGUCUUCCUCCACACAUUCCAAGGCAACUCCAAUCAGAAUUUCCAUCCGGCGCAGGUCGCAUUCGCCUUGCAUCACAGGGUCCAGGAUGUCUUCAAUCCACGACCCCCUGGCACCAAUCCCAUUCAUUCGAUCCCUCACCCAUUUAAUCAACCCACGCUGCUCUGUCUCUCCUUGGGCAUCAGUAUCGGGGAUAGCAGUUGGGCUCUUCCCUGUCACCAUCUCCAAAACCACGAUUCCAUAGUUAUAAACGUCUACCUUGGAGGUUAUGGGAAGGUUGAAUACCCAUUCAGGAGCCAUGUAUCCUCUGGUUCCUCUGAUCCUCGAGAAACUUGAAUUGUCAAGCCCUCCUCUGUUUCGCAGUUUCGACAUCCCAAAAUCGGCCACUUUUGGCUGGUAAUUAGAGUCCAAGAGUAUGUUCUGAGGCUUGACGUCACAGUGCAGAACCCACUCCAAGCAUUCUUCGUGUAAAUAAGCUAGGCCUCUGGCCGUGCCAAGCGCUAUUUGGAACCUCUUCUCCCAAUCAAGAGUAUUGGAAGAUAGCUUUUGUGCCAAGGAUCCAUGUUCCAUGUACUCAUACACCAACAGCCGGUGCUUCCCCUCUAUGCAAUAUCCCCACGUCUCUAUUAAGUUCAUGUGAUUAAGCCUUCCAAUGGUGCUCACUUCUGCUAGAAAUUCUGCUUCUCCUUGAUUGGCUUCUUUGAGGCGCUUGAUUGCUGCCACUCGACGAUCAAGCAAUACACCUUUAUAUACCACUCCUCCACCUCCUCUUCCAAUCUCUUGGGUGAAACCUCGCGUGGCCUUCUUCAACUUUGCAUAGCUGAAUCUUUUAAACCCGUUUGCAACGAGGAUGUAGCCUUGCAUGGUCGAGACUGGAUCAUGGUGUACCCUAAAUAAGAAAAGCCAUACCAGCAAGACAAUUGCCCCCUCUAGAACUCCCAGUACGUAGGCAAACCAAAGCAAAAACUUCAAUGACCCAUUUUCAUGGCCCUUGCGAUAUGUUGUAUCUAGCUGUAUAUAACGAGUGUUGCCUGAACAAUUCAUGGUGAAUUCUUCAAGAGUGUUGGAAAUCAAGCCAGCAUCCUCUGUUUACUUCCCUAAUUAGUGUAAUGUACAGCCUUUAUUAUAAUUGAUUUAGGAGUAAUUCUAGCAAGGUAGUUUAUUCACUUUCCAUGUAAGAGUAGUUUAUUCACUUCCCAUGUAAGAGUAGUUUAUUCACUUCCCAUGUAAGAGUUUAUUCACUUUCCAUGUAAGGGAAAUUCCAUUCCGGAAUUGUCUCAUAUCUGUAGGCUAUUUAUUUAUGCUUUCAUUCAUUGUAAAGGGUGAGAUCACGGAAUGAAUUGAGGUGUUCCUCCAUAGUUUGUCUUCAAAUUCUUCAUAUUUUUCUUCAAAUUCUUCAAAGAUGAUCAUAUCUGGGAAAGAGACUAGCUUUAGGCAGUUUUAGAUACAUGGUUCCAGGAUAAUUUGGCGAACUGAAUCCAUUAAGCAAGAGGGUAUUUGGGUAACAAUCGUAAAGGUCGUCGCUAAAAUUUAGCAGGAAGGCCUUGCAUUUGCACAACUGUAAGCAUAGAUUUUCACACCUUUCGUAGGUGUAAUUGGGGUAGUGACCAUAGUCAUAGCCGUAGAGUUGAACAUGAGGGAGUGGGAAGAAGCCCACCUCAGUUUGGUUACAAGCGAUAUCAGUUUCUGGUGCACACCCAUAAGACUAGUCAGUUGAAUUUACAAUCUUGAAUCCAGGCAUGCAAGAGCAUCCUCUGCCAUAAGCAGGGGUGUAACUGCAGAGACUAUUGGGUUCGCAGAUGCCAUGAAUCUGGCAUGGUUGGGAGAUAGCCUGCCAUGAAACCGACCAGGUUCCUCUCGUUUCUUCUAGACUAUACAUUCUAAGAUUGCCAUCGAAAUCGAGGGCCAAUCUUCUCUGAGGCCCUGCACCAAAAUCCGCUGACCGAAAUUCCAAAUCAUCUGAUGCUCUAUAAUAACCCAAAGAAUCGAAUACUGCGAUUCGACUGUUGUUGUAUGUGCUCCUUCCAGCAUCCCAGGUCACCAGGCUUAGGUCUGGCCAAUAGAUGCUGGAAACCUCAGUACCAUUGAAGAGAAGGCGGAUGACGUUAUCACUGUCAAAAAAUAGCUUAUAAAAACCAGAAGAAUAGUUGCUUUGGCUUCUUGAGGAGAUAAGGCUGGUAUCUUUGGUCAGUAUCUGGUGAGGAAGAAGAGUAUCUGUGGGUGAGUCAAAGCUCUGCCAAAUCACCGUCUUCUCCCAAGCAUAUAGAACAAGAUUGCCGGUGUUAAGGAGCUGUAAUCUCGCAGAUGAGGUUGAAACUGUCACGCCCCAAGACCCACUCCAAGGGCGUGACGGUCAUUUCACACCUCAAACCCGAAGGCUUAAAGUAUAAUCUGACCCGAACAAUCAUAUUAUAACUAGAUGUUACCAAUUACCAAAUACCUGUUCAGAGUAGCAGAACAAAAUCUAAAUUCCUCAAAAUUCAAUUUCCAAAUAACUUCCAAAUAUCAAAUGAUCCAAAUGAACAUAACUAACAGUUAAACAAAAUCCAACAUAAAAUCCUAAGUCAAAUCUUAAUGAUGACCAUUCUUCAGCCUAGCCAUCACUCCUCACCCGAACUAAGAGUACCUGAAAAUUUUCAACAAUUGGGAAUGAGCUCACAGCCCAAUAAGGAAUAUUAAUGCAAUUCAUGGAUCAAAUAUUUUCAUUUCAAAUAGGAGAUAUCAAUUUUUUUUUUUCUCAUCAAAUAUCAGAGUUCCAAAAAUACCAAUAUAUUCAAAAUUCAACCAACCAAUUUCAUAUCAAAUUCAAACACUUUCACAUAAAAUUCAAUCAAAUUCAUUCAAGUUUCAUUACUCUGGUUAUCAAAUAUCAAAUGCCCAGUUAGGUGGGACUUUUCAAAUGGGUGGCUAGCCUCAAAUUGUUCCUGGUGGACGGAACCUAAACACNNNNNNNNNNNNNNNNNNNNNNNNNNNNNNNNNNNNNNNNNNNNNNNNNNNNNNNNNNNNNNNNNNNNNNNNNNNNNNNNNNNNNNNNNNNNNNNNNNNNCCGAACUAAGAGUACUGAAAAUUUUCACAAUUGGGAAUGAGCUCACAGCCCAAUAAGGAAUAUUAAUGCAAUUCAUGGAUCAAAUAUUUUCAUUUCAAAUAGGAGAUAUCAAUUUUUUUUUUUCUCAUCAAAUAUCAGAGUUCCAAAAAUACCAAUAUAUUCAAAAUUCAACCAACCAAUUUCAUAUCAAAUUCAAACACUUUCACAUAAAAUUCAAUCAAAUUCAUUCAAGUUUCAUUACUCUGGUUAUCAAAUAUCAAAUGCCCAGUUAGGUGGGACUUUUCAAAUGGGUGGCUAGCCUCAAAUUGUUCCUGGUGGACGGAACCAAACACUACUAGUACUAGUAACCUCUAACCAAACCCCUAGAGGCUGGGGUCCAAAUCAAUUACAUUCCCACCAUGAAAUGUAAAGGUCAACUAUUAUAUCCCGUUGAUAGGGCCGAAUAGUCAAUUAUUAUAUCCCGUUGACAAGGGUCAAAUAAACCAGAGUGAUGUUUUUGUUCAAGUUUUCAAAUUUACACAACAUAAUAUCUCCAUAUUUUGUGUCAUAAAUAAAACAAAAUAUUCCAACAUAACAUUUAGUGCAAAACAAUUUGAUCCAUGCAUGGUAACAAAAUAUCAUUUUCUUUUCCACAAUUCAAAAUAACAUAUAAGAUAAUUUAAUUUUAUAAAUAUUACAUUAACUUCCCUUACCUCAAAAGAAGUCCUUGAAAGCUUGGGAGAAGAAUAAUUCUGAAAAAAAAAAUAUAAUCUACUCUUCACCUAAUAUAACAUAAAAGAAACAAUUAUUACUAUUUAUUUAUAAUUUAACUAAUCUAUUCCUUAUUAAAAAAAAAUUAAAAAAUUCCCAAUUGGUUUUUAAUAUACCAUUACUAAUUUAAUUAAAUAAUACCUUUAUUUGGCUAUAAAAUUCUAUAUUUAUAUAUUUAUAUAUGGCUAAUUUUCUUUUUCUUUUUUUACCAAAAAUACCAUUUUUAUUUUUUUUUUAUUUAAAAAUUUAAAACUAAUUUUUUUUUUUUAAUUACCCAAUUCCAACCCAUCCACCUUGGGGUACACCAAACCAAAAAGCAAGUUUUUAUUUUUAUUUUUUAUUUUUUUUUCAUUCCCAACCAGGAUCCAUUAAUAUAUAUAUAUAUAUAUAUAUAUAAAAGGGGCUUCCUGGCACACGCACCUUUUUUUUUUUUUUUUAAUAAAAUUAACCCUAACCUAAAAUCAAAACCUUCCAAGAAAUUUUUUUUUUUUUCUAAUAAAACUUAAGAUCUCCCAAAUUCCAAUACUAAAAUCAAAAUAUUAAAUUUUCACUAUUUGAUAUUAAAACGAAUUAAAAAAAUAAUCUAACCCUAAUCUAGAUUUGGGGUUUUCCAAAAAAAUAUAUCUAAUGUGUUUGAAAUUAAUCAAUGAAUCUAAAAUAUUAAACUAGGGGUUAGAAUCUUACCUAUAGAGAUCUGUUCUUCAACCCUGAAAUCUGACUCCAAUCUUACGUUCUCUGGAAUUCUACGAACAGGAAAUCUAUUCAGAAAAAAAGGGAAAAAAAUAAAAUUUCUAAUUUAUACCUAGGGUAUUUAUUCGUAAAAUUACACUUUUACCCUUCUUCCACUUUAUUAAAUUAAUUAAUUAAUUAAUUUAAUUAUUAAUAACAAUUUCCUAAAUUACCCUUAAAAGAAAAUGCUUGGGCAUUACAUCCUCCCCUCCUUAACAAAAGUUUAGUCCUCUAAACUUGACAUACCUGAGUCUUGAAAUAAUUGAGGAUGUUUUUCUCUCAUCUCUUCUUCUAACUCCCAAGUGGCCUCUCGGAUACUAUGAUUGCUCCACUGGACCUUUACCAACUUGACAACAGCAUGUCGUAGUACCUUAUCCAUCAUAUCCACAAUUUGAACGGGUACCUCUUCAUAGGUCAAGUCCUCAAAAUUUUGAAUAGGCUCCAACUCCACAACAUGAGAAGGAUCAUAAAUAUACUUCCUUAGAGUCGAAACAUGAAACACAUUAUGAACCUUAGACAAGCUUGGGGGCAAGACUACUUUAUAUGCCAAAGUGCCUACUCUUUCUAAUAUUUCAAACGGACCCACAAAACGAGGACUAAGUUUUCCUUUUCUCCCAAAUCUCAUCACAUACUUCAUAGGUGAAACUUUCAAGAACACAUGAUCACCCACCUCAAACUCCAAAUCUCGCCUACGAUGAUCAGCAUAACUCUUAUGUCUACUUUGAGCUGCUUUUAAUAUUUCUUUAAUCAAAGCAACCUUUUCAACAGUCAACUGCACAAGUUCAGGCCCCAAAAGUUUCCUUUCUCCAACAUCAUUCCAAUAGAUAGGAGAUCGACAUUUCCUACCAUACAAUGCCUCAAAAGGUGUCAUCCCAAUGCUAGCUUGAAAACUAUUGUUAUAGGCAAACUCUACUAAAGGUAAAUGAUCAUCCCAAUUACCUUGCAGGUCCAAAAUACAAGCUCUCAACAAGUCUUCCAAAACCUUAAUUACCCUUUCUGAUUGGCCAUCAGUUUGAGGAUGGAAAGCAGUACUAAAACUCAACUUAGUGCCCAAAGUUUUUUGUAGACUAUGCCAGAAUCUAGAAGUGAAACGAGGAUCUCUAUCAGACACUAUAGAAACUGGUACUCCAUGCAUUCUCACAAUCUCCUUCACAUAAAGAGAAGCUAAACGAUCUAAAGAAAAGUUCACUUUCAUAGGUAAAAAGUGAGCAGACUUUGUCAACCGAUCAACAAUCACCCAAAUAGCAUUAUUACCCCCUAAGGUUCUUGGCAAUCCUAUCACAAAAUCCAUGGUAAUAUGCUCCCACUUCCACUCAGGAAUAGCAAGUGGCUGCAAAGACCCUGCUGGUCGUUGAUGUUCAGCCUUCACCUGUUGACACACUAAAUACUGAGCCACAAAUUGUGCAAUAUCACGCUUCAUACCUGACCACCAAUAGUUUUGCCUCAAAUCCUUGUACAUCUUUGUCCCUCCUGGGUGGAUUGCAAACUUGGAACAAUGAGCUUCCUCUAAAAGCUCCCUCUUUAAGUCUUCAUCAUUUGGGACACAAAGUCUAGUCCCAAAUCUCAAGAUCUCAUCAUCUGACAAAACAAAAUCAGGCUUACUGUCCCUCUUAACUUCCUCCAUAACUUGCACUAAUUGGGAAUCAUUCUUUUGUAGGGUCUUAAUUCUCCCAACUAAGUCUGGUUGUACUCUGAAAUUUGCUACAAGUGCUCCUAAGCCCAUAACUCGAAAGUGGACUUGUAAACUCCUCAACUCUUCAAGUAACUGCCUUUGACAACCUCUAAUAGCUGCUAGAGAACCAACUGACUUCCUACUCAAGGCAUCAGCUACAACAUUCGCCUUCCCAGGAUGAUACUGAAUAAUACAAUCAUAGUCCUUAAGUAGUUCUAUCCAUCUUCUCUGUCUUAUGUUCAACUCCUUUUGGGAAAAUAGAUACUUCAAACUCUUAUGAUCUGUGAAUAUCUCACAAGUUUCACCAAAAAGAAAAUGUCUCCAAAUCUUAAGUGCAAAAACCACAGCAGCUAACUCCAAAUCAUGAGUAGGGUAAUUCCUUUCAUAAGGCUUCAACUGUCUAGAAGCAUAAGCUACAACUCUCCCAUGUUGCAUAAGAACACAACCUAAACCCUGAUGAGAAGCAUUACUAUACACCACAAAUCCUCCUGAACCUGAAGGGAUAGUCAAAAUAGGAGCUGACACUAAUCUAUUCUUCAACUCUUGGAAGCUACAUUCACAAUCAUCAGACCACUCAAACUUAACUCCCUUCUGUGUCAACUUAGUUAAAGGUAGGGCAAUCUUAGAGAACCCUUCUAUAAACCGCCUAUAGUAACCAGCAAGUCCCAAGAAACUUCGAAUCUCAGUCACAGUACUAGGUCUUCUCCAAUUAGCUACAGCAUCUACCUUGCCAGGGUCAACUGAGAUGCCAUCAUUGCUUACCACAUGCCCAAGGAAAGAAAUUCAGUCUAACCAAAACUCACACUUCUUCAGUUUAGCAUACAACUGCUUAUCUCUGAGGAUAUGUAAUACAAUACUCAAAUGGCCCUCAUGCUCCUCUCUACUUCUUGAGUAUACCAAGAUGUCAUCUAUAAAAACCACCACAAAUUGAUCUAAAUAGGGUUUGAAUACCCUAUUCAUCAAGUCCAUAAAAGCAGCAGGUGCAUUAGUCAAACCAAAAGGCAUAACAAGAAACUCAUAGUGCCCAUACCUAGUUCGAAAAGCAGUCUUGGGUACAUCUUCCCCUCUAACCCUCAACUGGUGAUAACCCGAUCAAAGAUCUAUCUUAGAGAACACACAAGCACCUUGUAACUGAUCAAACAAAUCAUCAAUCCGAGGAAGGGGAUACUUGUUCCUCACUAUCACCUUAUUCAACUCCCUAUAGUCAAUGCAAAGUCUCAUUGAGCCAUCCUUCUUUUUCACAAAUAGAACAGGAGCUCCCCAAGGUGAAACACUAGGCCUGAUAAAACCCUUGUCUAAUAACUCUUGAAGCUGAACUUUCAACUCCUUAAGCUCCACAGGUGCCAUCCUGUAUGGGGCCUUAGACAUAGGACCUAUUCCUAGUACUAGAUCAAUGGUGAACUCCACCUCUCUCUCUGGUGGCAAGCCAGACAAAUCCUCUGGAAAGACAUCAGGAUACUCUCUUACUAUAGGUAUGUCUUCCAACUUCAAAUCACUUUCAUUACUCACCAUACUAGCCAAAAAUCCUUGGCAACCCUUCUUAAGCAAGCUACUAGCACGCAAGGCUGAGAUCAUACGCAGUGGUCUGUCCACAUGCUUCCCUUCAAAGCUAAACUUAGGCUGACCAGGAAUACUAAAUGUCACUCUUUUCUCAAAACAGUCAACAGAGGCAUGGUAGGAAGCUAACCAAUCCAUACCCAAAAUCACAUCAAAAUCCUGAAGGUCAAGGAGUACUAAAUCAACUGGCAUUUCCCUAUAACCAAUCAUCACAAUACAAUUUCUAAGCAUUCUACUGGCCACAACAGAAUCUCCCACAGGAGUAGCAACAAUCAAAUCAAAGUCCAUGCUAACAACAGGCAAACCCAACAAACCAGCAAAAGAUACUGAAACAAAAGAGUGUGUUGAUCCAGGAUCAAUCAGACUCUAGCAAAUAAGGUGUGGAUUCGGAGAGUACCUGUCACCACAUCAGAAGUGGCCUGAGCAUCUCGAUGAGUCAUAGCAAACACCCGUCCUUGGGCUUUGGGUUUCUGUUUUAUCUCCUUAUUUUCCUCUUUAAGCUUCCCAGUGAUGAACUUACCUAUUCCUCUGAUCAAAUGUCCUUGCNNNNNNNNNNNNNNNNNNNNNNNNNNNNNNNNNNNNNNNNNNNNNNNNNNNNNNNNNNNNNNNNNNNNNNNNNNNNNNNNNNNNNNNNNNNNNNNNNNNNGUGAUAACCCGAUCGAAGAUCUAUCUUAGAGAACACACAAGCACCUUGUAGCUAAUCAAACAAAUCAUCAAUCCGAGGAAGGGGAUACUUAUUCCUCACUGUCACCUUAUUCAACUCCCUAUAGUCAAUGCAAAGUCUCAUUGAGCCAUCCUUCUUUUUUACAAAUAGAACAGGAGCUCCCCAAGGUGAAACACUAGGCCUGAUAAAACCCUUGUCUAAUAACUCCUGAAGCUGAACUUUUAACUCCUUAAGCUCCAUAGGUGCCAUCCUGUAUGGGGCCUUAGACAUAGGACCUGUUCCUGGUACCAGAUCAAUGGUGAACUCCACCUCUCUCUCUGGUGGCAAGCCAGGCAAAUCCUCUGGAAAGACAUCAGGAUACUCCCUUACUAUGGGUAUGUCUUCCAACUUCAAAUCACUUCCAUUACUCACCACACUAGCCAAAAAUCCUUGGCAACCCUUCUUAAGCAAGCUACUAGCUCGCAAGGCUGAGAUCAUACGCAGUGGUCUGUCCACAUGCUUCCCUUCAAAGCUAUACUUAGGCUGACCAGGAAUACUAAACGUCACCCUUUUCUCAAAACAGUCAACAGAGGCAUGGUAGGAAGCUAACCAAUCCAUCCCCAAAAUCACAUCAAAAUCCUGAAGGUCAAGGAGUACUAAAUCAACUGGCAUUUCCCUAUAACCAAUCAUCACAAUACAAUUUCUAAGCAUUCUACUGGCCACAACAGAAUCUCCCACAGGAGUAGCAACAAUCAAAUCAAAGUCCAUGCUAACAACAGGCAAACCCAACAAACCAGCAAAAGAUACUGAAACAAAAGAGUGUGUUGAUCCAGGAUCAAUCAAGACUCUAGCAAAUAAGGUGUGGAUUCGGAGAGUACCUGUCACCACAUCAGAAGUGGCCUGAGCAUCUCGAUGAGUCAUAGCAAACACCCGUCCUUGGGCUUUGGGUUUCUGUUUAUCCUCCUUAUUUUCCUCUUUAAGCUUCCCAGUGAUGAACUUCCUAUUCUCUGAUCAAAUGUCCUUGCUUCCCACAACCAAAGCAAGCUCCAGUCUCUCUAUAGCAUGGCCUACCCCCAUGCUUCUUACCACAAGUAGGACAAGCCCCAUCUAAAUUCUGCGCUGCCUUCCCUUUAUUCUGAUUUCUUCCUGAUGUAGACCUUCGCUGUGCUUGAUUACCAUGAGCACCAUCACUCCUAUUUCGCUUCCUUUGCUGUUCCCUAUACUGAUGAAGCUCUUCAUUAUCUUUCUCUGUUAUAAGGGCUCUGUCAACAACCUCUGAAUAGACACCAAGCUUCAGAAUAGAUAUCUUGUUCUUCAAAUAAGGCUUCAAUCCAUCCUGAAACUUUAAUGCCUUUUCCUCCUCUAUAGCAAUCAACUGUGGGGAAAAACGUGAUAACUUUGUAAAUUUGGCCUCAUACUGAGCCACAGUCAUAUCCCUCUGUUCCAAACGAAUAAACUCUCCCACCUUCUGCCACCUAACACUGUCAGGGAAAUACUUCUUGUAGAAAGCCUCCCUAAAUUGUCUCCAUGUUAUGGGUCCCUGAUCCUCCAAAAGUCUCUUAGUCAUACGCCACCAAUGAUCUGUCUCUUUAUCUAACAUAAAAGCUGCAUAAGAGGCUUUUUGCUCCUCAGAGCAAUCUAUGACACCAAAGAAUUUCUCCAUCUUAAGGAUCCAAGCCUCUGCCUCUGUGGGAUCUGUAGCACCAGAAAAGUAAGGAGGACCCAAUUUCUUGAAGUCAUCAAAAGAGCUACCCCUAGAAGAUGAAGACUGUCCCUGAACAUUAGUCCCAACAGCUCGAGCUUGGCGUUCAACUAAACCAACUAGUGUCCCAAGAUACCUAUAGAUCCCUUCUGCACUCACGGGAGGCAAACCCUCAAUUGGAGGUACAUCGUCAUUAGCCUGACUGUUUUGUGAAGAAGUUGUUCUUCUUGGUGGCAUGAUGUCCUAAAAUAAUAAGGCAUAACUAAAUUAGUCACUAAAGAACCAAUUAGAAAAUUUUCCAAUUAAAGAAAGAAUUGGAAUUUAUACUAAAUGAAACUAAAACUUAAACAAAUGCGUUACUCAUCUAUCCCUAAUCUAAACCAAUUCAAAUUCCCAUCAAGAUCAAAACCUAGUGCUCUGAUACCACUCUGUCACGCCCCAAGACCCACUCCAAGGGCGUGACGGUCAUUUCACACCUCAAACCCGAAGGCUUAAAGUAUAAUCUGACCCGAACAAUCAUAUUGUAACUAGAUGUUACCAAUUACCAAAUACCUGUUCAGAGUAGCGGAACAAAAUCUAAAUUCCUCAAAAUUCAAUUUCCAAAUAACUUCCAAAUAUCAAAGAUCCAAAUGAACAUAACUAACAGUUAAACAAAAUCCAACAUAAAAUCCUAAGUCAAAUCCUAAUGAUGACCAUUCUUCAGCCUAGCCAUCACUCCUCACCCGAACUAAGAGUACCUGAAAAUUUUCAACAAUUGGGAAUGAGUUCACAGCCCAAUAAGGAAUAUUAAUGCAAUUCAUGGAUCAAAUAUUUUCAUUUCAAAUAGGAGAUAUCAAUUUUUUUUUUUCUCAUCAAAUAUCAGAGUUCCAAAAAUACCAAUAUAUUCAAAAUUCAACCAACCAAUUUCAUAUCAAAUUCAAACACUUUCACAUAAGAUUCAAUCAAAUUCAUUCAAGUUUCAUUACUCUGGUUAUCAAAUAUCAAAUGCCCAGUUAGGUGAGACUUUUCAAAUGGGUGGCUAGCUUCAAAUUGUUCCUGGUGGACGAAACCAAACACUACUAGUACUAGUAACCUCUAACCAAACCCCUAGAGGCUGGGGUCCAAAUCAAUUACAUUCCCACCAUGAAAUGUAAAGGUCAACUAUUAUAUCUCGUUGACAGGGCCGAAUAGUCAACUAUUAUAUCCCGUUGACAAGGGUCAAAUAAACCAGAGUGAUGUUUUUGUUCAAGUAUUCAAAUGUACACAACAUAAUAUCUCCAUAUUUUGUGUCAUAAAUAAAACAAAAUAUUCCAACAUAACAUUUAGUGCAAAACAAUUUGAUCCAUGCAUGGUAACAAAAUAUCAUUUUCUUUUCCACAAUUCAAAAUAACAUAUAAGAUAAUUUAAUUUUAUAAAUAUUACAUUAACUUCCCUUACCUCAAAAGAAGUCCUUGAAAGCUUGGGAGAAGAAUAAUUCUGAAAAAAAAAUAUAAUCUACUCUUCACCUAAUAUAACAUAAAAGAAACAAUUAUUACUAUUUAUUUAUAAUUUAACUAAUCUAUUCCUUAUUUAAAAAAAAACUAAUAAAUUCCCAAUUUGUUUCUAAUAACACAUUACUAAUUUAAUUAAAUUAUAACUUUAUUUCGCUAUAAAAUUAUAUAUAUAUAUAUAUAUAUAUAUUGCUAAAUCUCUUAUUCUAUUUAUUACAAAAAUACCAUUAUUACUAUUAUCUUAUUUAUAAAUCUAAAACUAAUUAUUAUUAUUUAAUUAACCAAUUCCAAACCACUCAACCUCGGGUACACCAAACCAAAAAGCAAGUUUUUAUUUUUAUUUUUUAUUUUUUUUCAUUGCCAAUCAUGAUCCAUUAAUAUAUAUAUAUAUAUAUAAAAGGGGCUUCCUGGUACACGCACCUUUUUUUUUUAAUAAAAUUAACCCUAACCUAAAAUCAAAACCUUCCAAGAAAUUUUUUUUUUUUUCUAAUAAAACUUAAGAUCUCCCAAAUUCCAAUACUAAAAUCAAAAUAUUAAAUUUUCACUAUUUGAUAUUAAAACGAAUUAAAAAAAUAAUCUAACCCUAAUCUAGAUUUUGGGUUUUCCAAAAAAAUAUAUCUAAUGUGUUUGAAAUUAAUCAAUGAAUCUAAAAUAUUAAACUAGGGGUUAGAAUUUUACCUAUAGAGAUCUGUUCUUCAACCCUGAAAUCUGACUCCAAUCUUACGUUCUCUGGAAUUCUACGAACAAGAACUAUAUUCAGAAAAGAAGGGAAAAAAAUAAAAUUUCUAAUUUAUACCUAGGGUAUUUAUUCGUAAAAUUACACUUUUACCCUUCUUCCACUUUAUUAAAUUAAUUAAUUAAUUAAUUUAAUUAUUAAUAACAAUUUCCUAAAUUACCCUUAAAAGAAAAUGCUUGGGCGUUACAGAAACGGUGUUGAUCAUCCAAACCAUGAUUUUACCAGCAUCAGUUAAGAUGAGAUUGCCAUUCCUCAACAAAGAAAGCUUGGAGCCUCUACCGUUGACCGGUUGGUCAUGGUUCGCCAUCCAAACUGUGGUUGCACCCCAUGAUUUUGUGAACCAUAUGGCGAAGCAGAAAGUGUUGUUGCCGACCUGAUAAAACCCAGCAGAGAAUAUACCAUUUGCUGAAAUGAGAACAUCAUUUGAUUUCUCCACGGAAAGAGACGAGCCUUCGCUCAGAGUAUCAUACGUUUCAGAUGAAGAUGGAUAGCAAGUUAACAGCAAAACCAAAACAAAGAAACCAACUGUCCUAUCCAUGAGUUUUGGGAUAUGGUUCAUGUGCUCUGUUUCCUGAUCAGAUAUUUGCAAUGGAGAAUGCAAGUGUAUGGUGCUACCAGAGUUUAGAAAAUCAAUUGACUCCUUGACUGGGGUGAAGGGGGAAAAUUCACAUUGCCCCUCGGGCCAAGUUUUGCUUGUGCCAUCGUGUUGGGUUUCUAAAAGCAUUUCAUGUCAACGUCAAAAUAUGGGAUGAAGACCCGCUAUUUUUAAUGGGAUCUAUUUUGAUUGGAUGACUUGGGCCAUUCAAAUUUUGUAGUUUCCACUUGGAACAACAAAAUUAUUAUGAGAUACGUCAUUUUGAAGAAAGAUUCUAGAAAUAAGAUGUUAAAUUGAUCUCUUUUCCAUGUAGCUGAACUCGUCAACUGUGAGUCUGAGCCAUAUGAUUUCUGUGCCAUACAGAAGCUUAUUGUUCCAAGUUGCCUGCUCAAAGGUUAACCUGUGAACAGUUUGGAUCUAAAUACAAUGAAUGUGAUGAAAUUUACUGAAACCGGGACUCUCUGACUGGCCUGUGGCCUUUAUGAGUUUUAUUUUAGAGGUGACGUCUGAUGUUGAUUGGCCCAAGCAGGGAAAGAUCAAAUGGGAAACGACGGUCACAACUUGUGGGGUGACUUUCCACUCACCAGGGAACACUUCAAAGAAAUUAUCCCUAAUUUUUAAACGCUUAAUUAUUGCGAUUCGAGGGGUAAAACAUUUUCUUUUAUUGAAUCAAGAUUGAAUUUAAAAUAAUAGUGUUGGUAUUACUCCCUCUCUUUUAUCCUUUUCUUAUUCUAUCUAAUAGUGGUUUUCUCGCCGCCUUUGUGGGCCAAGAUGAACUAAUGCUAAGAAUUUUAUUCAUCUGCUUUCUUUCAAGACUCACUUAUUGAAUAUAAUAUCUCAAUAAAUAUAGAACCAUAUUUUGAUUAUAUUGGUACAAUUAUUGAUACAACUGUUGGCUCCGCUCAAGUCAUUUUGGCGUGGACUUUUAGGGUAUGGUAGAGUGGAGCUUGUAUCACUACUAAUUAUUAAAAUGGUUAAAGGAUGUCUUUGUCAUUUUAGUGCACAUAUAAUUAUUAUUACAAUUGAGGGUCCUCCAAUAUCCCAUUUUUCCAAUUUUGACUUUUGAUCGGAAAAAAUUUAGUAUACAAGGAUAGGAAAAUAUGCUAAAUAAAAUAAUUUUCUCAUAUUUAGGUUUAUUAAAAAUUAUAAAAAAUAAUAUAAUAUAAUAUAAUUAAAAAGUUAUGUAUUUUUAAAUUAGAUAAUUUUUUUAUAAAACAAUUAAAAUAAGUUAAAUGAGUUUGAAAUUCCAUAUAAAAAUAAUUUAUUGAUUUAAAAUCUAUUUUUAUUUCCUUUAACUUUUUUUCAUAUAUUUUUUUUUUGAAUUUUUCAAAUACUUCAAACAGCUAUUUUUAAGUUUGUAUCUUUGUGAAACUCGUGUAAUCGUGACCCAUGAGAACCUUCAAGUCAUUUUGAUUAUAUUGGUACAAUUAUUGGUACAACUGUUGGCUCCGCUCAAGUCAUUUUGGCGUGGACUUUUAGGUUAUGGUUGAGUGGAGCUUGUAUCACUACUAAUUAUUAAUAUGGUUAAAGGAUGUCUUUGUCAUUUUAGUGCACAUAUAAUUAUUAUUACAAUUGAGGGUCCUCCAAUAUCCCAUAUUUCCAAUUUUGAUUUUUCAAGGUAUGAUCGGAAAAAAUUUAGUAUACAAGGAUAGGAAAAUAUGUUAAAUAAAAUAAUUUUCUUAUAUUUAGUUUUAUUAAAAAUUGUAAAAAAUAAUAUAAUAUAAUAUAAUUAAAAAGUUAUGUAUUUUUAAAUUAGGUAAUUUUUUUAUAAAACAAUUAAAAUAAGUUAAAUGAGUUUGAAAUUUUAUAGAAAAUUAAUUUAUUGAUUUAAAAUCUAUUUUUAUUUUCUUUAACUUUUUUUCAUAUAUAUUUUUUUUUUUGUAUUUUUCAAAUACUUCAAGUAGCACCCCAUUUCCUAUUUUCAAGUUUGUAUCUUCGUGAAACUCAUGUAAUCGUGACCCAUGAGAACCUUCAAGUCAUUUUGAUUAUAUUGGUACAAUUAUUGGUACAACUGUUGGCCCCGCUCAAGUCAUUUUGGCGCGGACUUUUAGGGUAUGGUUGAGUGGAGCUUGUAUAACUACUAAUUAUUAAUAUGGUUAAAGGGUGUCUUUGUCAUUUUAGUGCACAUAUAAUUAUUAUUACAAUUGAGGGUCCUCCAAUAUCCCAUUUUUCCAAUUUUGACUUUUCAAGGUCUGAUCGGAAAAAAUUUAGUAUACAGAGAAAAUAUGAUAAAUAAAAUAAUUUUUUCAUAUUUAGUUUUAUUAAAAAUUGUAAAAAAAUAUAUAUAUAAUUAAAAAGUUAUGUAUUUUUAAAUUAGGUAAUUUUUUUUUAUAAAACAAUUAAAAUAAGUUAUAUGAGUUUGAAACUCCAUAUAAAAAUAAUUUAUUAAUUUAAAAUUUAUUUUUAUUUCCUUUAACUUUUUUUCUUAUAUUUUCUUUCGUAUUUUCCAAAUAUUUCAAAUAGCACUCUAUUCCCAUUUUCAAGUUUGUAUCUUUGUGAAACUCAUUUAAUCGUGACCCAUGAGAACCUUCCCAUAACUACAAAGGAAGGUGGCAACAUAUCAUUGGGAGAGUGUCUUAAGAGCCAAAAUUUGACUAGCGGUUGAAAGGAAAAUGCACAAUUAUUGUAGUGGACAAAUACUUUUAACCUCAUUUGUGGAAGCUAGGUUGUUUUUACAAGGGAAACUUGUGUUCCAAGUUAGAUAUUUGAAAGUAAUAUUAUAUUCAAACCCCAAUUAGCUGGAAUAUGAGAUUUGACUAUUAAAAGAGAAAAUAUUAUUGUGUUUGUGCAUUCUAAGUUGGCUCUAUCUUCUAUGCCCAAAUUGCCCUUUUGUUUCUCUAGCUCAACAUCAUCCUAACCUCUUUGUCAACAGGACCACUAAAAUUAAGAAAAAACACUAAAUUUUGAAUUUUUAACUUCUAAAAAAAAAAACACCCGACCCGACCACUUAAUUUGAAUGUUUUCCUUUCUCAUUUGGAAGCUUUCUCUCAUCUUUCUUCAUUCAUGACAACCCAAAAUUUCUCCUAUUUCAAUUUAGAAACCCAAAUCUGAAACUCUAAAACGGUGUCAAAAUGCGUCUUUUGACGUGCCUCUGGCUCAGAUGCCUCAGCUAGGCGUUUGCCUUGAGCCCUAACCGUAGUUAACUCUCGUCUAGGAGCCACGAGAGUGCAAGAGAAUCCAAUAAAAAUGAAAUGGAGCUCGGGUGGAGAGUAGAUGCCCAAAAACUGAAACCUUAACCUCCAAAUGCGUCUUAGACUCGCAAAUUCAUAUCCAAGAUAGUUCUAUAAGACAGAAAUAGCACCAAACAUCUCUUUUAGACCACCGAAUCGACGAAGCCCUUGAAGAACCAAAGGAAACGGUGCAAAAAAUGAAGCGCGGGAAACUCUUAAAGUAUUGGGUCUUGACAAAAAGAAUAUUAAGAAAAAUAGGUUUUUAAUAUCUUAUUUUAGUAUAAAAAUAAAAAAAUAAGAUAUAAUUAAAAACUUGUAUAUUUUUAAAUUAUUUGAUAUUUAUAUAAAAAAUAAUAUAUUAACUUAAAUAAGUUUAAGAUAGCAUAUAAAAUAAUUUAUCAGCUUUAAAUUUUUUUUUUACUUUUACAUGAUACUUAAAAAGGAAUAUAAAUAGAGAAACAAUAUACUAAAUAAAAUAAUUUUAUCUAUAUAUAAAAAUAAUUUAUUAAUUUAAAAUCUAUUUUUAUUUCCUUUUAACCUUUCUUUCCUUUUUUUUUUUUUUUUUCCAUAUUUUCCAAAUACUUCACAUAGCACUCCACUCCCUAUUUUUUUUUUCUCUCUAAAUUUCAGAAACCAAACAUAAAAUACAAACACUGGUGUAAAGUUUGUAUCUUUGUGAAACUCAUGUAAUCUUGACCCAUAGGAACCUUCCCAUAUAAUUAAAGGAGAAUUACCCAAUAGGGUGGGCUUGGUAAAACAAUUACUAGAAAUGGUAGUCUCUUCUAAUAAUUCUUGGGGAGGAUUUUAAUAGGUUUAAUAUACCAAAACUGUCAUUUAACUAAAAUUUUUAAAAUUCAAAGUAUUUAAAGCACUUCACUUGAUUUGUCGAUACAAUUAUAGUACAUGAGUCUCAUAUUUAUUGUAAUUAUUAAUAUUCAAAUUUUAAAUCAAAAUUUUGGGUUUAACCUUUACAAUUAUAUAUAAUUUGUUAUUUAAAUUUACUAUUUAAAACAAAAAUACUUUUAAAAAGUAUUUUCAAAAUAUCAUUUAUUGUUUUUUUUACAUUUUUUAUUUUUAUUCUAAUUUUUAAUUUUAUUAAGAAAAAAAUAAGUUUUAUAAUUAUAUAAUAAAAAUGAUGAUUUUUUCAUAUAUAUAUAUGUAUAUAUUAUAAUUUUAAAUUGAUAAAUUAUGUUUUUGUUUUAAAUUCAAGGAAGAUAAAAUGUUUAAUUUUUCAUUCAGAUUCUUUAAAAAGAAUAAGAAAAUGAUAGAGAAUGUUUAAUAAUUUUUUAUUUUUAUAAUAAAAUAAUUUUAAAAAAUUUAUAUGAUUUUUUUUCCUUUGCAUAGUGUUUUUUUUUUUUUCAUAUAAAAUUUUUUUUCUCAGUACAUCGACUGGAUGAUGUUAAUAUAUUUGAUAUGUUGAAUAUUAAUAAGGUAUAAAAGGUGAUCAUCGAGAUUAUUACUUUUAUUAUAAAAUAUAGGUACAACAAAAAUAUGUUAUAAUUACCAUAUAAAUACACUUACAUUACAAUAAAACCUAAUUAGGAAAUUUUUGAAUUUUUUUAUAAAAAUGAUAAUUUGGUAAGAUCAUACCAUAUUUUAUAACAUACCUAUAUCAUAAAUAAUUUCUGAAACCAAAUGAAAUACUAAUUUGAAUUCACGAGACUUGUAGUUUAUAUAUAUAAAUGAUUAAAUAAUUUCAAAACACUAAAUAAAUGUUGUUAAUAUAUUGAUACGAUGCGUUAAUACCAACGGGGUAUGAAUAAACAUUUUUAAAAUUAUUCCUUUUGUAAUUAAAUAUAGAUAUGACAUAAAUACAUUAUACUUACAAUAUAAAUACGUGUUAUCAUUACAAUAUAUUACAAUAUAAUUUAAUUUAUUUUUAUUUAAUUUUUUCAAGUGUUAUAUUAUCCAAUGAAUAAUUGUGAGUUAUUCUAUUUAAUAGGUGUGUGUUAAUCAAUUGAAUAUUUACAUAUUAUUCAAUUGAUGAGUGCUCGUAAAAAAUAAUUAUUCAUUAUAUUAUGAUAACAAAGUUUUUAAUUAUAUGUUUUAUAUAUAAAACAAUAUAAUAAUUUUAGGAUAUGGUUUUUAUUUAUGAGAUAAUGAAAAUUAUAUUUUUUUAUAAGGUUCUUUAUAAAAUAUAGCAAAUUUUUAAAUAAUCAUUUGAUUGUUCAAAAGUUAAUAAUAAUUUUUUUAAGCUGAGAAAUAUAUUAUUGAUUACUUAUCAUCAUGCAUGAAUUCCACAACAAUCUCAAUUUAUUUAUAAAUAAUAUAAAAACAUAUUAUAGGUAAAAUUAUCUAUAACCGAGAGAGCCUUCAUAAUAAUUAGUUUUUUGGGCUACCCUGUUCGGUAAUUCUCCGUACAAUUAAUUUCCAGCAAAGGCAGGUGAGUGUUGAGGAGACAAAAUCUGACCCGCUGUUGAAGGGAAAAUGCACAAUUAUUGAAGUGGACGGAAACUUUUAACCUUAUCUGUGGAAGCUGGGUCGUUUUUCAAAACACGAGGCUGCAGCUUGGAACCUGGGGCAUUCUAGCUUUCAUCUUCCCAUGGGAAUUUCUACCCUCCGCACAAGUCAAGAGCAACUUUGUCUUUUCCAUAAAUAUUAGUAUUAUUUGUGUGUUCCUUACCUGAAUUUGAUUCAAGCUUAGCCCUACGGCCUUUUCAACUGAUCCAAUUUCAUAGAUCACAUGGAUGCGCCAGUUCUUUUGCUUCUUCUCACUCUGCUUCUAUCUUCUCCACUUCCAUCGUCCACCCUCGACAGUUUGAGUCAAGGCUCAUCCCUCUCAGUUGGGAAGCCUGAACAAGUUUUGAUUUCACAAAGUGGAAUCUUCUCAGCUGGCUUCUACCCCGUCGGUGAUAAUGCUUGUUGUCUUGCCAUAUGGUUCACCAAACCAUCCUACGACGGCAAACAUACCGCUGUUUGGAUGGCAAACCGAAACCAACCAGUUAAUGGGAAUUUCUCAAAGCUUUCCCUUCUAGAAAGUGGUGAUCUUAUCUUAACAGAUGCUGGGCGGUUCAUAGUUUGGACCAUAAAGAGGGUUGGGAUUUCUCCGGUGCAAUUACACCUCUUCAACACUGGUAACCUUGUGCUGCGUACCUCGGAUGGUGUUAUUCAAUGGCAAAGUUUCGAUUCACCAACAGAUACCCUUCUCCCUCACCAACCACUCACCAGAAAUACGAGACUCGUCUCUUCAAGAACCAAAACCAACUUUUUCUCAGGGUUUUAUAAGCUCUAUUUUGACAACAAUAACGUCCUCAGUCUUGUCUUCGAUGGGCGGGAUGCUUCAAGCAUUUACUGGCCCCCAUCGUGGCUUGUAAGCUGGCAGGCGGGAAGAUCGGCAUACAACAGCAGCAGAACUGCAUUACUAGAUUACUUUGGCUAUUUUUCUUCAACCGACGAUUUUAAGUUUCAGUCCUCGGAUUUUGGUGAGAGAGUCCAAAGAAGAUUGACCCUGGAUAUUGAUGGCAACUUACGAUUAUACAGUUUUGAGGAAGGGAGAAAUAAGUGGGUUGUUACUUGGCAAGCCAUCACGCUACAAUGCAACAUUCAUGGAAUAUGCGGACCCAACAGUAUUUGUACCUAUGUGCCUGGUUCUGGGAGUGGAAGGAGAUGCUCUUGCGUACCUGGAUAUGAGAUGAAAAAUCGCACUGACCGAACUUAUGGAUGCAUACCAAAAUUCAAUCUUUCUUGCGACUCACAGAAGGUUGGUUUCCUCCCACUCCCACACGUUGAGUUCUACGGCUAUGAUUAUGGCUAUUACCUCAAUUACACCUUACAGAUGUGUGAAAAACUGUGCUUGAAAAUAUGUGGCUGCAUAGGAUAUCAAUACAGCUAUAAUUCGGAUGUUUAUAAAUGUUGUCCUAAGCGGCUGUUUCUCAACGGAUGCCGCUCGCCUAGUUUUGGAGGACAUACAUAUCUAAAAUUGCCUAAAGCUAGUCUUCUUUCCUAUGAAAAACCAGUUGAGGAAUUCAUGUUAGAUUGCUCAGGCAACCGCUCAGAGCAGCUAGUAAGAUCUUAUGCAAAAGCCCGCGAAAAUGAAGUGUUAAAGUUCAUCCUCUGGUUUACGUGCGCAAUUGGAGCAGUUGAGAUGAUUUGCAUCAGUAUGGUGUGGUGUUUCUUGAUGAAGGCCCAGCAAAACACCAGUACAGAUCCGCCAGGCUACAUUUUAGCUGCCACGGGAUUCAGAAAAUUCACCUAUAUUGAGCUGAAGAAAGCAACACGGGGUUUCAGUGAGGAGAUUGGCAGAGGAGGGGGUGGGGUUGUAUAUAAAGGUGUCUUAUCAGACCACCGAGUGGCAGCCAUCAAGCAGCUCAGUGGAGCUAACCAAGGAGAAUCUGAAUUCUUGGCAGAAGUAAGUACCAUUGGGAGGCUUAACCACAUGAACUUGAUAGAGAUGUGGGGUUAUUGCUUUGAGGGGAAGCACAGGCUCUUGGUUUAUGAAUACAUGGAGCAUGGAUCACUAGCACAAAACCUCACUUCCAAUACACUUGAUUGGCAGAAGAGGUUCGAUAUUGCGGUGGGCACAGCAAAAGGUCUGGCUUAUUUACACGAAGAGUGCUUGGAGUGGGUUAUACACUGCGAUGUGAAGCCUCAAAACAUACUCCUAGACUCUAAUUAUCAGCCAAAGGUGGCAGACUUCGGCCUGUCAAAGUUACAGAACAGAGGAGGAAUCAACAAUUCGAGAUUGUCGAGGAUCAGAGGAACGAGAGGUUACAUGGCUCCAGAAUGGGUUUUGAACCUCCCCAUCACCUCCAAAGUAGACGUUUAUAGCUAUGGUAUUGUGGUUCUGGAGAUGAUUACCGGCCUAAGAAGUGUUGCAAAUGCCAUCCACGGUACAGAUGGCAUAGGGGAACGUCAGAGUUUGGUGGCAUGGGUGAAAGGGAAGAUGAAUAGUGCAACUGCAGUUGCUUCGUGGAUUGAAGAAAUCCUAGACCCGUCGAUGGAAAGCCAAUAUGACAUGGGUGAGAUGGAAAUUCUAGUAGCAGUGGCUCUGCAAUGUGUGGAAUUGGACAAGGAUGAAAGACCCACCAUGAGUCAGGUGGUCGAGACGCUUCUCCGCCCUGAACGUGGAAACAAUCAUCACUAUUAAUAAAUCAAUGCCUCGUAUGGGGCCCAAGUGAAGUGGCUUUCUAUACCUAUUCCGCCCAUUUAUGAUAUUUGUAAAAAAACAGAGUAAUUUUAUUCCCAAUAUCUCUCCUUGGUGCUCUUAUCUUAUUAAACUCCUUUUUUUUUUUUUGCAAUAUUAACUAUUAUAUUUUAUAAAAUCCUUUUUAAAAUUUGUUGAAUUUGAUCUAUUUUAUCCUCACAUAAUUUGUAGCAGGAGAAGUUUUUCUCCUCAUCAUAGAACAAAUUCUUAUAUAUGUAGUAUACAUAUAUGAAAGGUAUAAAUGGUUUUAGCUUUAGUUGAUAUCAUAUAAUUUCUCAUUGAAUCUAUUCUAAUGUGACUUUAAAAUUUUUCAAAAUAUAAAUCAAUUCCUCUUCCUUUGUGUGUUAGUGAAUGAAUUAGUUUAAAUGUCAUAGGUUUUGACUUUUUAGACAGCUAUUUAACCUAUUUUAAAUAGCUCUGCAUCACACCAUCACUUCAACCUUCCUUGACAUUUUUUUAUUUAUUUAUUUUAAUUACCUUUGGAUGGUAUCAUUGCUCGGAAAAAUUUGAUGAAUGUAAAAGGGAAAUGGAAAAUCGUGGGGCACACAUACAUUAUGGAGUCAAAAUCUUUGAAAGAUGUAAAAUUGUCGUGCAAUUCAAUCUAAUGUAGAUGGACAAAAAUGUCAUCUUAUUGAUCAAGCAUAGAUGGAAAAUCAAAUGAAUGAGCCACCCUGCAAAUGUUUAUUUUCAAGUAUUUCUUUUUUUUUUUCAACUUAAGACCUCUUUUUGGAAAUUUAUUAUUAAAAAUAUUUUAAUCUCUAAUUUUUUAUAAGUGUCUUUUCAUAAGCAUGUUGAUUAGAAAGAAACAAAAAUAUAUUUUUAAAUUAUUUAAUCUAACACAAGAAAGACAAGUAAAAUUUUAUAAAAAUAAUUUAUUAAUUUUAAAUUUAUAUUUUAUUUUCAUUCAUUUGACAUACCUUCAAUAAUUAGUAUAAAUUAAUAUAAAUGUUUUAUAUAAUUCGUUUACAUGCAUUGUAUAUUAUGUACAAACAGGAACAAAAUGAAUGAGCCACUGUAUGUGACAAAUAAAUACAUUUUUAUAAAAUCUAAAUUUAAUUUUAUAGUAUAUGACAUGGAUUCUGGCGUCAUCUUCCACAUCACUGAACUUCUUCUUUACCUAUUUCAUUGUUCUCUGCUUCCAACGCUUCCCACUAUGAACGUCUCUAGAAAAAACUGUCCGGUGUGGCUCUCCUCUUGGCUCUACCACAGUUGAGAUUUUCGGCUUGAUGCCUUCGCUCUAUCUCAGGUGGUCGGCUUUGGAGCAUGGAUGGCUGCAGAUCUGCCAAGUUGUUGGCCAUGAAUCUCCCGAAUCCACUUGCUGCUAACCGUUUGUAUUAUUCAAUUGUUGAAGGCCGAUUUGAGUUGAAAGGCCAAUGGGCCAUGGGAAGCAAUGGUUGCUUCACCCAAUUUUUUAAAAUUCGUUUUAAGUAAUACCAAAAUUUUUAUUGUAUGAAGUAUUGAUGUUAUUAUUAUCUUUUCAUAUUGAUUUUAUUUUUUAAUUUUUUUUUCUUAGGAUUUUUUUUCUUUUCACUUUUUCUCCCACCUUUCUUUUAUUUAUAUUUUCUCAUAAUCAAAUAUGGCCUUAAAUUUAAUCGCAAGCAAAGUGUUAUGUAGACAAUUAAUAUGUUCUUACUAUUUUGCUUUUAUGGCCAUUAAAUUUAAGGACUUCAGGUGAUGGCAAUAGGGUGAUUUUUUUUAGGUAAUAGUCCAACCUGCUUCUAAUAGGAUGAGUUUGAAAUUUAAAUAAAUGAGUUUGAAGUAAAUUUAAGUUUUUUUAAACUCAAAAUGAGUUUGGAUAUUGUCACAUCCCAAUUAUAUAUAAAAUUAAUUUAAUUUGAUUUUUUAUUUUUUUAUUUUUAAUAAUAAUAAUAAUAAAAAAAUACUUUUUUAAUAAAAUAAGUUAUAAAAAUUUAUAAUAAUCUAAUUAUAUAAAAUAUCUUUAUUUUAAUGUAAUUAAAUACUCUAAUAAGUUAUAAAAAUUUAUAAUACUCUAAUUAUAUAAAAUACAUUUUAAAUAAUUUUAAAUGAGGUAAGGUAGGACGAGUAUGAGAAUUUUUUUUACCUAUCCCACCCCGUCCUGUCAUGUUUAAUUUUUUUAAUGGUACAAGGUUGGAAUAUGUGCUUUCUAUUCUAAACCGGUCUCAUUAUCAUCCCUUCAUGUGUCUGCAUGAAUAUAAGAUAUUAGUGAAAAGUUUGAAGUAUGAUAUUAAAAAUUCAAUUCACCAUUUAUUUUGUAAUUAUACUUCUAAAUAUAAGCAUGAAAGGGCGAAUUGACAUAAUAGAAGGCCUAACUGCUCAUGUUUUUAUUUAUUUAAAUUAAUAUUUAUUAAUAAUUUAUUUAUGUAAUAAAAAAUUUGUAAUUCAAAAUUUGAUUUUACUAAGUGAAGUACCUGAUGUCCAGAACUGGAGGAACCUAAAGAAAGAGAAGAACAAAAAGUGACACCAAGACAUAUCCCAAAAGCCUAAUGGCCCAUCCCCCUACAAAUUCUAGCUUUAUAAUUAUUGUCCUAAAAGAAAAAGAUGAACAAGUGUUUUUUCGUCAUAUAAUGUUAAAAAAUUAAAGUAUCAAUUUUUUUUUUUUAAACUUUCUACCAAAAAUAAUUUAAUUUCAUAUUUCUAAUUGUUUUUUUUAAACCUUUUGUCACUUAUUAUUUAUUUUUUAAAUAUUUUUACUAAAUUUAAAAAGAAAAAAAUAUAUAUAUUUUAAAUAUUAAAAAUAAUCUAUUAAUUUUUCUUUACUUAAUAAAAAUAAUAUAUUUAAAAAAAUAAAUAACUUAAUAAUUAAUAUUAUUAAACACUAUUUAAUUUUAAAUUCAAUUUACAAUUAAGUUUAAAAAACACCACUUAAAUGUCAUUAUUGCAACGGACAACAACAUUAACUCUACUCUUUUAUAAAAUCUUUUAUUUUAGGAAAUUUUAAUUUCCAAAUGAAGUAGUUAAGAGAAAAAUAAACAUUGUGGUUGAACUUAAUCGAAAUAAAUAAACCAUAAAAAAACACUUGAAUGGAUUAAGGACCCUUUUUUUACGCCAAGGUGGUGGUGAUAUAUUGAUUUGAGUAAGAAUUUUAUAAUUUCCCAAAAGAAAGAUAAAGUGGAAAAGCAACAUUUAUUAAAAGAUAGAUACAUUAGAAUAUCAUAUCUAAAUUUAGUAUUUUUCUUUUCUCUUCUUUAUAAAACUAAAUAAUAGAAAUCAAAUACUUUUUCCAACUUCUCGUACUGAACCGUUUCGUUUUUCAUUUCAUCUAAUUUUACCUUCAAUUCAUUUCUUUCCUAUUUUAUUUCUUGAAACAUGUAUUGACUAAAACCUCUGUACCAAUGUUUCAGGACAUGAAGAGGUAGCCAUCCUGCUCCGCCCUCUCCUCCGGGCACAUAAGCUUCUCAACUACCUGGCUCAUCGUGGGUCUUGAGUCCCUGUCUUCCUCUACACAUUCCAAGGCAACUCCAAUCAGAAUUUCCAUCUGGCGCAUGUCGCAUUCGCCUUGCAUCACAGGGUCCAGGAUGUCUUCAAUCCACGACCCCCUGGCACCAAUCCCAUUCAUUCGAUCCCUCAUCCAUUUAAUCAACCCACGCUGCUCUGUCUCUCCUUGGGCAUCAGUAUCGGAGAUAGCAGUUGGGCUCUUCCCUGUCACCAUCUCCAAAACUACGAUUCCAUAGCUAUAAACGUCUACCUUGGAGGUUAUGGGAAGGUUGAAUACCCAUUCAGGAGCCAUGUAUCCUCUGGGUCCUCUGAUCCUCGAGAAACUUGAAUUGUCAAGCCCUCCUCUGUUACGCAGUUUCGACAUCCCAAAAUCGGCCACUUUUGGCUGGUAAUUAGAGUCCAAGAGUAUGUUCUGAGGCUUGACGUCACAGUGCAGAACCCACUCCAAGCAUUCUUCGUGUAAAUAAGCUAGGCCUCUGGCCGUGCCAAGCGCUAUUUGGAACCUCUUCUCCCAAUCAAGAGUAUUGGAAGAUAGCUUUUGUGCCAAGGAUCCAUGUUCCAUGUACUCAUACACCAAAAGCCGGUGCUUCCCCUCUAUGCAAUAUCCCCACGUCUCUAUUAAGUUCAUGUGAUUAAGCCUUCCAAUGGUGCUCACUUCUGCUAGAAAUUCUGCUUCUCCUUGAUUGGCUUCUUUGAGGCGCUUGAUUGCUGCCACUCGACGAUCAAGCAAUACACCUUUAUAUACCAUUCCUCCACCUCCUCUUCCAAUCUCUUGGGUGAAACCUCGCGUGGCCUUCUUCAACUCUGCAUAACUGAAUCUUUUAAACCCGUUUGCAGCGAGGAUGUAGCCUUGCAUGGUGGAGACUGGAUCAUGGUGUACCCUAACUAAGAAAAUCCAUACCAGCAAGACAAUUGCCGUCUCUACAACUCCCAGUACGAAGGCAAACCAUAGCAAAAACUUCAAUGACCCAUUUUCAUGGCCCUUGCGAUAUGUUGUAUCUAGCUGUAUAUAACGAGUGUUGCCUGAACAAUUUAUGGUGAAUUCUUCAAGGGGAUCAUAUCUGGGAAAGAGACUAGCUUUAGGCAGUUUUAGAUACAUGGUUCCAGGGUAAUUUGGCGAACUGAAUCCAUUAAGCAAGAGGGUCUUUGGGUAACAAUUGUAAAGGCCGUCGCUAAAAUUUAGCAGGAAGGCCUUGCAUUUGCACAACUGUAAGCAUAGAUUUUCACACCUUUCAUAGGUGUAGUUGGGGUAGUGACCAUAGUCAUAGCCGUAGAGUUGAACAUGAGGGAGUGGGAAGAAGCCCACCUCAGUUUGGUUACAAGCGAUAUCAGUUUCUGGUGCACACCCAUAAGACCAGUCAGUUGAAUUUACAAUCUUGAAUCCAGGCAUGCAAGAGCAUCCUCUGCCAUAAGCAGGGGUGUAACUGCAGAGACUGUUGGGUCCGCAGAUGCCAUGAAUCUGGCAUGGUUGGGAGAUAGCCUGCCAUGAAACCGACCAGGUUCCUCUCGUUUCUUCUAGACUAUACAUUCUAAGAUUGCCAUCGAAAUCGAGGGCCAAUCUUCUCUGAGGCCCCGCCCCAAAAUCCGCUGACCGAAAUUCCAAAUCAUCUGAUGCUCUAUAAUAACCCAAAGAAUCGAAUACUGCGAUUCGACUGUCGUUGAAUGUUUUCCUUCCAGCAUCCCAGGUCACCAGGCUUGGGUCUGGCCAGUAGAUGCUGGAAACCUCAGUACCAUUGAAGAGAAGGCGGACGACGUUAUCACUGUCAAAAAAUAGCUUAUAAAAACCAGAAGAAUAGUUGCUUUGGCUUCUUGAUGAGAUAAGGCUGGUAUCUUUGGUCAGUAUCUGGUGAGGAAGAAGAGUAUCUGUGGGUGAGUCAAAGCUCUGCCAAAUCACCGUCUUCUCCCAAGCAUACAGUACAAGAUUGCCUGUGUUAAGGAGCUGUAAUCUCACAGAGGAGGUUGAAACGGUGUUGAUCAUCCAAACCAUGAUUUUACCAGCAUCAGUUAAGAGGAGAUUGCCAUUCCUCAACAAAGAAAGCUUGGAGCCUCUACCGUUGACCGGUUGGUCACGGUUCGCCAUCCAAACUGUGGUUGCACCCAAUGAUUUUGUGAACCAUAUGGCGAAGCAGAAAGUGUUGUUGCCGACCUGGUAAAACCCAGCAGAGAAUAUACCAUUUGCUGAAAUGAGAACGUCACUUGAUUUCUCCGCAGAAAGAGAUGAGCCUUCGCUCAGAGUAUCAUACGUGUCAGAUGAAGAUGGAUAGCAAGUUAAUAGCAAAGCCAAAACAAAGAAACCAACUGUCCUAUCCAUGAGUUUUAAGAUAUGGUUUAUGUGCUCUGUUUCUCGGAUAUUUGCAAUGGAGAAUACAAGUGCAUGGUGCUACCAGAGUUUAGAAAAUCAAUGUUUACAUCAUGACUUCUUGACUGGGGUGAAGGGGGAAAAUUCACAUUGCCCCUCGGGCUAAGUUUUGCUUGCGCCAUCGUGUUUGGUUUCUAGAAGCAAUUCAUGUCAGCGUCAAAAUAAUGGGAUGAAGACCUACCGUUUUUAAUGGGAUCUAUUUAGCAUGUAAGUUUGAUUGGAUGACUUGGGCCAUUCACAUUUUGUAAUUUCCCCUUGGAACAACAAAACUAUUAUGAGAUACGUCAUUUUGAAGAAGGAUUCUAGAAAUAAUAUGUUUAAAAACUCGGUUAAAUUGAUCUCUUUUCCAUGUAGCUGAACUCGUCAACUGUGAGUCUGAGCCAGAUAAUUUCUGUACCAUUUUUUUCUUCUAUAACAUUCACUACUUUUGCUACUAUUAAGCUUUAUGAUGGUAGUCUUGUGCCUAUAACCUUACAGUUUCAUUAUCUCUCUCUCUCACCCUUCACAAUCUUCCACGUGUACAACCAUUAAGUUUUGGAAAAGGUACACCCUUGGCUAACAUAGAACUACAAGCUAAGACAAAUAAAACCUUGUACUGAUGUAGGCAAAGGUAUUCACUAGAUACAAAAAUUUUCUUGUGUCACUUGUUGAGACCAGAAAAAUACCUAUUUGGAUGUGGUGAUUAGAUUUCAACAUAUCUUUAUUGAUGGUUUGGUUCUUGAAUUAUGAGGCGGUGGUGUCUGUUGUACUCUUAAAUUUUACUUCAUAUCAAGUAAUCACUAAUUUGUGGAAGCAAAAAUUCCUUGUAUUAUGAAAGUAAUAGUAGUUUAUUGUUCAUACUAUUUUGUUUGAGUAUUGGUUUUUUAUAUUGUUCAAAAUGCGAUUUUGAUUGCCUAAUUGUUGCAACUCACAUUUCAUCUGUUCUUUGUAUUAUACCUACUGGGUAAUAUGAUACUAUUAGAUAUUGGACUUGCUGAGAAGCAAAUAUAUCAUGCUACUCUCAAUGGUAAUAAUAGCCUGCCUACUGCUUUGCAUUAGGAGCAUAAUUGAUAAUAUCAUGGCCUUGCCCCCUAGUCCCAAUUGGUUUCUUUAGUUUUUGUACAUGAAUGACACUUUAUUCAAAUAAGCAUUGGUGUGUUGUUACUCAUGUAAUCUUUUUUCUUAUUUAUAGAAAAAGUAACUAUUUAAAUAUGUUGUUCUAUGUCCUUAUGGAUCCUUGUUAACAAAACAUCAAAUCCCCAAGCUUCUUGGUAUUUCUUUUUGAGUGUCUAGUCAUUUUCUCAAUAUGUUGAUCUAAAAAAUCUCUUUUGUGUUCAUGCAAGUUUGUUUUGUCAAUGCUAAUUGGGAUUCACCAUUUGUAUAUAUCCAUUGUAUGAUUCUAUUAUUUUUUUACUGAAAAAAAGGUUUAUAAUAGAUAUGGAAAAGCAUUUUUGUUGACCUAUGAGUUUUGUAUUUUUCCAAAUUUUAGAAUAUUACCAUGAAGCUUUUGUGCCAAUCUUGAAGGGGUUAGCCCUUUUCUUUUUCUAUUUACCCAAUCUACACUUGCUAUUGGCGUUGAAAGUGAUCCAGAAAAAAUUGACAUUCAGUUAUGAGGUGGUUGGGAUAAGGUCUAAGCUGCUAUUGCAGCAUGAAAUUGAAUGUAAUAUCAAAAGAAAGAUUAUGCUACUCAAAUUCUCAGAAGAAAAUUUUUGAACGGAAUAUCAAAAUAUCGAGAUUCAAAUUCUCAGAAGAAAAAUGUUUCUGAUCCACACCAUUUUUAUAGUGUUUUAAAGAAUUUAAUGGGGAACUCCAAAAUGCAACUAUAUGACAUUUAGUGGGGGCCAAAAACAAGAUGCAGCUAGCUGUAAGAACCAUUUGAUGCACUUGCUGUGGCCGCUACUAUUGCUUUGACUUUUGUUGCACUUUACCUGUGGUUGCCACUAUUUCUUUAACUUGUGUGCUUGCAGUCUCCUUCACAACUGCAACUAUAAGAAAUAGUUGGACCACCUAUGACUACACCAUGUGGCGGUCAGCUUGGUGUGCAACCAUAAUUUCAACCACACUAUUUCUGACCUCUAGUGAGGGUCACUAGCCGCUGCUAUAAGACAUCAUUCCUGUAGUGGAAGGUCGGCGUACAACAGCAGCAGAAUUGCAUGACUAGAUUCCUUAGGCUAUUUUACGUCAUCAGAUGAUUUUAGUUUUCGGUCUUCAGAUUUUGGUGGGAUGGUCCAGAGAAGAUUGAGUCUGGAUUUUGAUGGCAAUUUUCGAUUGUACAGUUGAGAGGAGGGGAGUGAGAGGUGCGUUGUUAGUAGGCAAGCGUUGCCCAAGGCAUGCAGGGUCCAUGGCAUCUGCGGGCCUAACAGUGUGUGCAGCUAUUUUCCUGAUUCUGGAAGCGGGAGAAGAUGCUCUUGCAUUCCUGGGUAUGAGAUGAAAGAUCCCUCCGAUUGGUCUUAUGGACGCCAACCUAAAUUCAAUCCUUCCUGCGACGCUCAAGAGGCUGGUUUCCUCCUAUUCCCUCAUCUUGAGUUCUACGGCUACGAUUAUGGCUUCCACCCCAAUUACUCCAUGGAGAGUUGUAAAAUGUUGUGCUUGCAAAGCGUUCCAAUAUAAAUUUCACGAGGGCAAGGGCGUGUAUAACUGUUUCCCCAAGACACUGUUAUUUAAUGGAUACAGUACACCUGGUUUUCAAGGAAAUGUAGAUUUGAAAUUGCCCAAAGCCCAUAUCGCUUCCUAUCAAAAUUCGGUCGAGAAAUUCAUGCUGGAUUGCUCAAGGGAGCUUCAAAAGCAGCUACCCAGAACAUAUGGAUUAUUGAGGUUUAUGCUCUGGUUUGCCUGCGCGAUUGGAGGAGUUGAGAUGAUAUGCAUAGUUUCAGUGUGGUGUUUCUUGAGGAAGGCCCAUCAAAACCCCAUUGCAGAUCCGGAAGGAUACCUUUUAGUAGCAACGCGGUUCAGAAGAUUCACCUAUACUGAACUGAAAAGGGCAACACAAGGUGUCAGUGAAGAGAUUGCAAGAGGAGGAGGCGGUGUUGUAUAUAAAGGUUUCUUGUCGGACCAUCGUGUGGCGGCCAUCAAGCAACUCAAUGUAGCUAAUGAAGGAGAAGCUAAAUUCUUGGCAGAAGUAAGCACCAUUGGGAGACUUAACCACAUAAACUUGUAGAGCUGUGGGGUUAUUGCGCCGAGCGAAACCACAGGCUCUUGGUUUAUGAAUACAUGAAGAAUGGAUCAUUAGCAGAAAACCUCACUUCCAAUACACUUGAUUGGCAGAAGAGGUUUGACAUUGCGGUAGGCACAGCAAAAGGCCUGGCUUAUUUACACGAAGAGUGCUCGGAGUGAGUUCUGCACUGUGAUGUGAAGCCUCAGAACAUCCUCUUAGACCCUAACCACAGGCCAAAGGUUGCAGAUUUUGGCCUGUCAAAGCUAGUGAAUAGAGGUGGAGAAGACAAUUCGAGCUUCUCGAGAAUAAGAGGAACCAGAGGUUACAUGGCUUCGGAGUGGGUUUUAAACCUCCCAAGCACCUCCAAAGUGGACGUUUUUAGCUAUGGUAUUGUGGUUUUGGAGAUGAUUACGGGGAAGAAUCCUGCAACGGAAAUCCAAGCGGUUGAUGGUGUGAGAAGUGGAAGAAAGCUGAAUGGAAUGAAACUGAAAAACAGGGUAGAACAGAGGUUUCUUGAAUCUUCUGAAUUUUUUUUUUUUUCUGAGAUUCAUUCUCUGUUCUUGUGAGCCGUGACUCUACAUAUAUACAUGUAUUUGAAGUUAGUUAUGCCUUAUAACUAAUUAUCUAACAGUACCAGAACUAAUCAUCUAGUUACAGGUUUCUAACUAAUGUUGUUUAGUUACAGUUGUACAUGGCUUAACAGAUGGCACAGGGGAGCAUCAAAGGUUGGUAGAAUGGGUGAGAGGGAAGAUGAACGGAGAAACUACAAGGGCUUCAUAUGAAUGGAUAGAAGAAAUCGUGGACCCUGUGAUGAAAAGCAAAAUAUGAGAUGAGUGAAAUGGAAACUCUGAUAUCAGUGGCUUUGCAGUGCGUGGAAGAGGAUAAAGAUGACAGACCCAGCAUGGGCAAAGUCCUGGAGCUCCUUCUCCACCAUGAAAAUCAAAACCAUUUCUAACGUUGCUAAAUUUGUAUGGAACAUGAAAGUAAGUAUCUUACAAAGCUCUCAAUUCACCAUUCUUUUAACUGUCGAAGUGGCAUUUAAUUAACCUAGCCCUUCAUUGAUUGCUCUGGCUCCACUUCAUUCAUAUAUUGGUUUCCCUUGCUCGACUACUCAUGCUCCACUUGAUUUAUGUAUUUCAUAUAUUUUUUUGAUAAAAAAAAAAAAAAAAAAGUUUGAAAACAUAUAAUAUAUUAGGUCUUAAAUAAUUUGUGAAAAAAUAGUCUCAAGUAAUUUGAAGAUGCACAAUGACGAAUUUCUAAACUUCCACACUUCAAAAAAAUGGGAGAGAGAUUGCUUCAAAUACUCAAUUCAAAGUUUUUGAAGAUUCAAAGAACACGUUCAAAAUUUCAAAAAACACAUUAAAAAUUUUGAAGAAAUUUUGGAGAAUAAGUUUAAGACAUCUUCAAUUUGAAAUCAAUCAUUCACAUCCUUGAUUAACAUUACACAAGUUGCAUCAAACCCCAAAUCAAGUCAAACUCAAGUCCAACUAAACUAUUAAAACACUUUCAAUUACAAUAUCAAACUGACAUAAGGGUGGGCAUACAUAUUUUAUUUAUUAAACAUUUUGAAAAAUUGAAGAGGGCAUACUAGAUAGAGGUUGAUUAUUAACUAGUCUAAAGUCUAAAUAUGACAACUUAAGAGGCUAAAUUCUAACUGGUUAUCAAGUGUCUUCUCUCGUAACUAUUGUUCACGGAAAUCAUAAUCUUACAACUCUAUAAUUGAAGUUCCCAUUAAAAAAAAAGAAAAAGAAAAGAAAAACUCUUUCUUUUAGCCAAAAUCCCUUCCUAUAUUUAUUUUUCUUAUAAUGAAUAUUUUAAUAAGAAAUUAAUUGCUUAAUUAUCAAAGAUACUUUGUUUUAUAAGAAAAUUUCAUAAUAUGAUAUUUUUUUUAUAUAAUAAUAGGAUAGUUUCUUACAAGAAUUUAUUAUAAACAUUGAAGACUUACAAAUUAACUUUAAAAGAGAAUUUGUAACAUAUUUUAACAAUAUCCACCUUGAUUCAAAUUCUCAAGGGUCAAGCAAAUUCAAAAGUUUUUGUAUCACUUUGUUCUCAUGUCUUAAAAAGAGCCUUCAAAUAAUAUAGACAGAUUAAAUCUAAACAAUGCAUGAUUUAAUAGUAAGAUUAGGCUUAAUCAUCAUAUUUAUCAGAUUAUUCAUUAUCGAGAUCUUUUGUCACAGCAAGAGUAUCUUAAGCAAUCAUAUCCUCAAUGAUUUAGUAUUCUAAUAUCCUCAAAUCUAUAAUAGCUAACUUUAUUGAACUCAUCAAAAUAGUCUUUUAAUACAUUUUCCUCCUUUCACUUAAAGAAUAAACAAUAACCUUUGUAAAUGCAAGUGAUUUGUAAGAAAUUUCUUCGUAUAUAAACAUUCCAACUUCAAUAAUAACUUAAUAGUUGUAUUAUCUUUUAUAAUAUCACGAAAUACUUCAUUACCUAAACAUUAUGCACUUUUUACAUAAAUUCAUCAUUCUUUUUUGUAAAUAUUAUUGCAAGUAGAGAGAUCUACAGCUUUUUAUGUUUUGACAACUUUUCUUAAUCUAAUUUUUAGUCGUUUUUUCUAUUAAACUUCUAAACAUUAAACUUUGUCUUCAUUCCAAGUUUACCAACCUUAACUUUCAUACUAAUUUAUUACCAAGAAAAAAAACAAUAAUAAGGGGAAGAAAACAAAAAAAUGAAAAUAAAAAAUAUAAAAUGUAGACAAUAAUUUACAUUAUUUGGUCUAAAGUACUAUAUAUCCAUAUAUGCAAAGAUAAUAAAGAACUUUUAGUAUUGUUUAAAGAUUACAAUCUUAUAGUUCUCUAAUCCAAAAUCCCAAUUACACCUAACAAAGGACUCUUUCUUUCCAUCAAAAUCUCCUUUUUUAUGAAUUAUUAAAGAUACCUAUUUAUAUAAAAGAAUAUCAUAAUAAGAUAUUUCCUCACGCUUUUCGUAAAAAGAUAUCUUAAUAAUAAAAUAUCAAACACGUAUAAAUUGAUGUAAAAGGAUGUUUGAUAUGUACACCUUCCAUCAUAUGAACAUGUUGUUCUUUAAAGAGAGAGAACCAGGAAAAACACCAAGAAACGCUAACUCCUCUUAAAUUAUAAUUAUAAAUUUUAAGUAUGAUUAAGGGUGAUGAUUUUGACAUGGUACAUUAACAUGAGUAGAAAAUGAUACCAAUUUUUAUAAGUUUAGCUUAAGUAUAACCAUAUUCAUGUCAUAAUCGUUUCAACCCAUAUAACCAAUUAAAAAAAGGUUGUGUUCAUAUUUAGUUGUUCAACCCUUCUAAAUUAUUUAAUAUGCCCACUUAAUCAUAUCAAAAUGAUCAAUUUACUUAAUGGUGUCAAAUUGACUCAUAUAUAACUCAUUCAUUUAUGAUUGUUUAAUUAAUAUAAAUUGAUUAAUUUUAUACAUUUAAGAUUUAAAAAUAGUUUUUUAAUUAUAAAUAUCAUAUACUUCAAAAAAUUAAGUAAUUAACCUAGUAAAUUUUAUAUAUUAAAUAUUAAAUAAAAUAACAAAUAAGUAUAAAAAUAAGGUUUUAAUUUAAUUUUUAUGUUGUAAAAAUAUAAUAAUUAAAAUUAAAUAAUUCAAUUAAAUAUUUUUUUUUUUUAACUAAGUUUAAAAUUUAAGGAAACUAGAAAAAGAUUUUAAAUAAUAUGGUACACGGGAACAAUUAUUGGCAUUUAAAUUUCGUAGUAUGUUGCAUGAACGAGGUGAGGGGAUGAUUAAUGAGUAGAAAAUGCAUACAGAAGCGAAAAGUCCGGCUCACUUGAUACGGCAAUGGAAGUGGCGAUAGAUUUGGACAGGGUGACAGAUGAACGGGCCUUGGGCCUUGGGCCUUCAGUCAAUGGUUUUGUCCUUGCAGUAGACACUUUUCAUUUUUGCAUUUGCUUUCUCUAUAAAGGUGAGGGGCCGAUUCUUAGAUCAAUCAGAUUUCAUACCCUUGCAUUGGUGCACAGUAUCUAAAUGGAUGUCUUGCUCUUCCUCACGUUUCUAUCAUCUCCAACGGUUUCAUCGUCAACCAUUCAUAUUUUGAGUUCAUUCAAAUAAUACAAGGAAGUUACAAAAUUCUCUUAAACUUGGAAGGGGGUUAAAUUAUAUUUUAUAUUAUAAUUAAAAUAUAAUGUAAAAUGUUAUAUUAUAUUAAUGUUACUAGUUUAAAAAAAAUACUAAGAAAAAAAAAACAUUAAUGAAAAUGAUUUUUUAAAUAUUUAUUUUAAUAUGGAAAGAAAACAUAUAUAAUUAAAAAAAUUAUAUAUUUCUAAAUUAUUUAAUAUUUUAUAUAAAAAAAAUUAUAAUAAGUUUAAAGUAGUAUAUAAAAUAAUUUAUCAAUUUUAAAUUUAUUUUUUCAUUUUUAUUUUCUGUUUUUACACCAUAUUUGAUCCUAAAAAAGUAUACAAUGAUGGAAAAAUAUACUAAAUAAAAUAAUUUUCUCAUAUUUAGUUUAUUAAAAAUUGUAAAUAUAUAUAAUAUAAUAUAAUUAAAUAAUUAUGUAUUUUCAAAUUAGGUAAAAAAAAAAAUUUUAUAAAACAAUUAAAAUAAGUUAGACGAGUUUGAAACUCCAUAUAAAAAUAAUUUAUUGAUUUAAAAUCUAUUUUUAUUUCCUUUAACAUUUUUCCCUUUUUUUUUUAUAUAUUUUCUUUCAUAUUUUCCAAAUACUUCAAAUAGCACUCUAUUCUCUAUUUUCAAGUUUGUAUCUUUGUGAAACUCAUGUAAUCCUGUUCCAUGAUAACCUUCCCAUGACUACAAAGGAAGGUGGCAACAUAUCAUUGGGAGAGUGUCUUAGAAGCCAAAAUUUGGCCCACAGUUGAAAGGAAAAUGCACAAUUAUUGAAGUGGAUGAAGACUUUUAACCUCAUUUGUGGAAGUUAGGUCGUUUUUCUAAGGGAAACUUGUGUUUCCAUGUAGCUAUUUGAAAGUAAUAUUAUAUUCAAACCCCACUCAAUUGGAAUAUGAAAUUUGACUGUCAAAGGGACAACUAUGUUUUGGAUCCACUUGAACUUAAAAAUUAAGUUUUAAUCCAUAUAAGUUCAUCAUUUAAGCCAAAGACCCAGAAAAAAUGUGAAAAUUGAAAAAAAAGAUAUGGUUUUUUUAUCUUCCUAGAAAUGACCUUUACUCACUAUGAAAAAAAAAAGAGUAAAAAAGUAUUAAUUUAAAUUUUAUUCAUUUUGUAAACCUUAAUAAAUUUUAAUGUAAUUUAGUGAUUUGGAAAAAAUACACCAUUUUCCAAAAAAAUAAAAAUAAAUUAUUAUUAUUAUUUAAAAAUCAAACAUCUUAGAAAAUAUAUAUUUUUAAAAUUGUGUAUAUAAAAUAUAACUAAAAAUAUGUCAAUUUUUUUUUUAAAUGACAUUUUUAGAAUAUAUUUUUUAAAAAAUUAGUUUUCUAAAAAUAAUAAUUUUUCAGAAUAAUUAUUUAAAAAAUAUUUAACAUAAAAAAGUUUGUCAAGCAUUAUGGUAGAAAAUAGUUUUGAAGGAUAUAUUCGUCUCUUCAUAUUUUAUAUCUUUUCCAUCAAUUAUGCAAUUUAUAUGGACAAAAACUUAAUUUUUGGGCCUAACUCGUCCAAAACACAAUUGUCCUUUUUUUUUUUUCUUAUAUUUUCCAAAUACUUCAAAUGCACUCCAUUCCCUAUUUUCAAGUUUGUAUCUUUGUGAAACUCAUGUAAUCCUGUCCCAUGCGAACCUUCCCAUAACUACAAAGGAAGGUGGCAACAUAUCAUUGGGAGAGUGUCUUAGGAGCCAAAAUUUGGCCCACGGUUGAAAGGAAAAUGCACAAUUAUUGAAGUGGACAAAGACUUUUAACCUCAUUUGUGGAAGUUAGGCCAUUUUUCCAAGGGAAACUUGUUAUAUUCAAAUCCCAAUCAGUUGGAAUAUGAGAUUUGACUGUCAAAGAAAUAAUUGUUUGGAUCCACUUGGAUUCAAAAAUUAAGUUUUGGUCCAUAUAAGUUCAUCAUUUAAGCUCAAGACCUAGAGAAAUUGUGAAAAUUAAGAAGAAUAAUAUAAAUUUUUUAUUUUUUCAGAAAUGACCUUUAUUCACUAUGAAAAAAAAAGUAUUAAUUUAAAUUUUAUUCCUUUUGUAAACCUCAAUAAAAUUUAAUGUAAUUUAGUGAUUUGGAAAAAAAUACACCAUUUUCCAAAAAAUAAAAAUAAAUUAUUAUUAUUAUUAUUUAAAAAUCAAAUAUCUUGGAAAAUAUAUAUUUUUAAAAUUGUGUAUAUAAAAAAUAACUAAAAAUAUGUCUUUUUUUUUUAAAUGAUAUAUUUUUAGAAUAUAUUUUUAAAAAAAUUAGUUUUCUAAAAAUAAUAAAUUUUCAGAAUAAUCAUUUAAAAAAUAUUUAAUAUAAAAAAGUUUGUCAAACAUUAUGGUAGAAAAUAGUUUUGAAGGGAAUAUUCAUCUCUUUCAUAUUUUAUAUCAUUUUCAUCAAUUAUGCAAUUUAUAUGGACCAAAACUUAAUUUUUAGGAUCAGUUAGGUCCAAAACACAAUUGUCCCUUUUUUUUAUAUAUAUAUUUUCUUUCAUAUUUUCCAAAUACUUCAAAUAGCACUCCAUUCCCUAUUUUCAAGUUUGUAUAUUUGUGAAACUCAUGUAAUCCUGUCCCAUAAGAAUCUUCCCAUAACUACAAAGGAAUGUGGCAACAUAUCAUUGGGUGAGUGUCUUAGGAGCCAAAAUUUGGCCCACGGUUGAAAGGAAAAUGCACAAUUAUUGAAGUGGACAAAGACUUUUAACCUCAUUUGUGGAAGUUAGGCCAUUUUUCCAAGGGAAACUUGUUAUAUUCAAAUCCCAAUAAGUUGGAAUAUGAGAUUUGACUGUCAAAUGAACAACUGUAUUUUGGAUCCACUUGGAUUCAAAAAUUAAGUUUUAGUCCAUAUAAGUUCAUCAUUUAAGCCCAAGACAUAGAGAAAUUGUGAAAAUUGAGAAGAAUGAUAUAAAUUUUUUAUCUUUCCAGAAAUGACCUUUAUUCACUAUGAAAAAAAAAUAAAAAAAUAUUAAUUUAAAUUUUAUUCCUUUUGUAAACCUCAAUAAAAUCUAAUGUAAUUUAGUGAUUUGGAAAAAAAUACACCAUUUUCCAAAAAAAUAAAAAUAAAUUAUUAUUAUUAUUAUUUAAAAAUCAAACAUCUUGGAAAAUGUAUAUAUUUUUAAAAUUGUGUAUAUAAAAAAUAACUAAAAAUAUGUCAAUUUUUUUAUGAUAUAUUUUUAGAAUAUAUUUUUAAAAAAAUUAGUUUUCUAAAAAUAAUAAAUUUUCAGAAUAAUUAUUUAAAAAAUAUUUAACAUAAAAAAGUUUGUCAAACAUUAUGGUAGAAAAUAGGUUUGAAGGGAAUAUUCGUUUCUUCAUAUUUUAUAUCAUUCCCAUCAAUUAUGCAAUUUAUAUGGAUCAAAACUUAAUUUUUGGGCCCAGUUGGAUCCAAAACACAAUUGUCCCUUUUUUUUUUCUUUCAUAUUUUCCAAAUACUUCAAAUAGCACUCCAUUCCCUAUUUUCAAGUUUUUAUAUUUGUGAAACUCAUGUAAUCCUGUCCCAUGAGAAUCUUCCCAUAACUACAAAGGAAUGUGGCAUCAUAUCAUUGGGAGAGUGUCUUAGGAGCCAAAAUUUGGCCCACGGUUGAAAGGAAAAUGCACAAUUAUUGAAGUGGACAAAGACUUUUAACCUCAUUUGUGGAAGUUAGGUCGUUUUUCCAAGGGAAACUUGUGUUUCCAAGUAGUUAUUUGAAAGUAAUAUUAUAUUCAAACCCCAAUAAGUUGAAAUAUGAGAUUUGACUGUCAAAGGGAAAAAUAUUAUUAUUUUUGUGCACUUUGAGCCAACUCCAUCUUCUGUGUCCAAAUUGCCCUUCCGUUUCUCUAGCUCAAAAUCAUCCCAACCUCCAUGAAAAGCUUCACCAUAUCUACCAUUCCCUAUUUGAUCCUCUACUUGGUUUUGUUUGCUCAUUUCAAAUGCAAGAAGACACACACGUGCUUCCAAAUUAUGAGGAUUUUUUUUUCUUUUUUUUUUUGGCUUUAAUAUUAUUUGGAAUAUCAUUCAUACUUUUAUUAGAAAAAUGGGUUACUCAUGAUCUUUAACAAAAUAAAGUUGACCAAUUAGAUUUCAAGAAAAGUACAAAAAUAAAUGAAAGUGUUUCUGAUUGUCCAAUAGGAUGAGUUUGGGAUAGAUCAUUCAUAUCUUAAUUUCAUCUCAUUUAUUUAUAUCUAUAUCAUAUUUGUCAAAAGAAUGAAAAUUUAAACAACAUAGGACAGUUCUUAUACUUGCUUGACGUUCCCAUUUUAUUUAUUUAUUUUAAAAUUUUUUAUUUUAAUUUAAAUCAUAUUAAAUGUAAAUAUAAUGUAUAAAUAAAUAAAUAAAUAUUAUAAAUUUAUAAUUUAUUUUUAUGAAAAGUAAAUUUCUAAUUUUAUAUAUGUAAAAAAAUCAAUUAAAAUAAAUUUUUAUUUAAUAUUAUAUAUAAUUGAGGUGAAGUCGACAAAAUUAUACUAAAACCCAACCCACUAAAAUUAAGAAAAAAAUACUAAAUUUUAAAUCUUUAACUUCUAAAAAAAAAAAACACCUGACCCAACCACCCAAUCUAAAUGUUUUUUUUCUCUUAUUUGGAAGUUUUCUCUCAUCUUCCUUCAUUCCCAACAACCCAAAAUUUCUCUCAUUUCAAUUCAAAAACCUAAAUCUAAAACUCCAAGGCGGUGUCAAAAUGCAUUUUUUGGUGUGCCUCUGGCUAAGACGCCUCAACUAGGCAUUUGCCCUUAGCCCUAAUCAUAGUUAACUCUCGUCUAGGAGCCAUGAAAGUCCAAGAGAAUCCGAGAAAAACGAAAUGGAGCUCGACUGGAAAGAGUAGGUACCCAAAAAUUGAAACCCUAACCUCCAAAUGCAUUCUAAACUCGCAAAUCCAUGUCCAAGAUAGCUUUAUCAGUAACAAAUAGCAUCAAACAUCUCUCUUAGACCACUGAAUCGACGAAGCCCUUGAAGAACUAAAGGAAAUGAUGCAAAAAAUGAAGUGUGGGAGACUCUUAAAGCAUUGGGUCCCAACAAACCCAUCGACCGAACCUCGAUCGGAUCUCGACCGGUACUCAAUCAAACCUCGAUCGAUCACCUUUGGUAUUUUGGUGACUGUACCUUAGGUACUACCUUAACUAAUCUUCGGUACUACUUUAGUUAAACUUGGGUACUACUUGUGUGAAGCCUCAAAACUUCAUUUGUGGAUAUUACUUACUUCAUUUGUGACCUUUAGAAUAUGUCAUUUUGUAAUUAAUUAGUGUGGUCAAUUGGUUCACAUUUGGUAUUUUGGUGAUCGUACCUUAGGUACUACCUUAACCAACCUUAGAUACUACCUUAGUUAAGCUCAUUCAACUGUCUAGGAGUGAGUUGGUGUCCUUUUCAAUUUUAUACAUAAAACUGGUCAACUAGUUACUCUUUAUCGGUCGAGGUUCGAUCGAGAAUGAAGUAAAUAAUAUCCACAAAUGAAAUUUUGAGGCUUCAGAUAGGUAGUAUCCAAGUUUUAGUAAGGUAGUACUUAAGGUUGGUUAAGAUAGUACCUAAGGUAGAUUAAGAUAGUACCUAAGGUAUAGUCACCAAAAUACCUAAGGUAUAUUCACCAAAAUACCAAAGGUGAACCAAUUGACCACACUAAUUAAUCUUAUAAUGGCAUGUUCUAAGGGUUACAAAUAAAGUAAGUAAUAUCCAUAAAUGAAGUUUCGAGCCUUCACAUAGGUAGUACACAAGUUUAACUAAGUUAGUACCUAAGGUCAAUUAAGGUAGUACCUAAAGUAGAUUAAGAUAGUACCUAAGGACUAUUAAGGUAGUACCUAAGGUACAGUCACCAAAAUACCAAAGGUGAACCAACUGACCACACUAAUUAAUCACAAAAUGGCACGCUCUAAAUGUCACAAAUAAAGUAAGUAAUAUCCAUAAAUGCAAUUCUGAGGCUUCACACAAGUAGUACCCAAGUUUAACUAAGGAGUACCUAAAGUUAGUUAAUGUAGUACCUAAAGUAGAUUAAAGUCGUACCUAAGGACUAUUAAGGUAAUACCUAAGUUACAAUCACCAAAAUGCCAAAGGUGACCAAUUGAGUCAAGGACCGGUCGAGUUGGGACCCAAUACUUUAAGAGUCUCUCGUGCUUCAUUUUUUGCAUUGUUUCCUCUGGUUCUUCAAGGGUUUCGUUGAUUCAUUGGUCUAGAAGAGAUGUUUGGUGUUAUUUGUUGUUGAUAAAGCUAUCUUGGACAUAGAUUUGCAAGUCUAAGACGCAUUUGGAGGUUAGGGUUUCAGUUUUUGGGUACCUACUCUCUCCACCCAAGCUCCAUUUCGUUUUUCCCGGAUUCUCUUGGACUCCCAUGGCUUCUAGAUGAGAGUCAACUGUGACUAGGGCUCAGGGCAAACGCCCAAUUGGGGCAUCUCAGUCAGAGACAUGCUGAAAUGAGCAUUUUGACACCACCUUGGAGUUUUAGAUUUGGGUUUUUGAACUUAAAUGAGAGAAAUUUUGAGUUUUCGGGAAUGAAGAAAGAUGAUAGAAAGCUUCCAAAUGAGAACAGAAAACAUUCAGAUUAGGUGGUCAGGUCAGGUGUUUUUUUUUUUUUUUUUAGAAGUUAAAAAUUCAGAAUUCAGUAUUUUUUUUUUCUUAAUUUGAGUGAUCCUGCUAACAUGGAGGUUAGAAUGAUGUUGAGGAUCCUGAACUGGAGAAAUAGAAGGGCAAUUUGGGCAUAGAAGAUGGAGUCGGCUUAGAAUGCACAAAAACGAUAAUACUUUCCUCUUUGAUAGUCAAAUCUCAUAUUCCAACUAAUUGGGGUUUGAAUAUAAUAUUAUUUUCAAAUAGCUAGCUGGAAACACAAGCUUCCCUUUUUCCAAAAUGAGGCUGCAACUUGGAACUCGGGGCAUUCAUAUUCCAUCAUCAUCACUAUUAAUAUUAUUCCAGCUAGCUUUCAUCUUUGCAUGAGAAUUUCUACCCUUGCCCGCACAAGUCAAGAACGACUUUGUCUUUUCCAUAAAUAUUAAUAUUAUUCCAAGUGCCCCAUAAAAAGGGAAAAGGAGUGUAUAAAGAAAAAAUUGAAUUCAAACCUGAUACAUUCAAUUUAAAAUAAUUAAUAUUUUACAUAGUUUUACAUAAACUAUAUAUAUAUAAUUUUAUAUAAAAAAAUAUUAUCAAAAUAUUAUCUUUUAAUGAUAUAAACCUAUGUUUAAUAUAAGAUUAUAUAAAUUUUAAAUUAUUUUUAAAUAUAUAUAUAUAUAUAUAUAUAUUUUCUCCUAAAAAUUUCUAUCAAAAUACAUUUUUCUAAACAUAAGAAUCAAGAAAGGAGACAAGUUGACCAAGCAGCGACACAAGUGAUAAUGACAUAUAAAUAGGUUUGGUUGUAACUCUCUUCUCUUCUAAACGUUAAGAGUGAAGUUUUGAUAAAAUGACUUUCAAUAAAACAAUAGAUUUAUUUUAGGUAUAUUUUGAAAUUUUUGUUAGAAAUGACUUUUUUUCUCAUAUUUAUUUUUAAAUUUUAUUUAUAAAAAAAAAAUUGUUUAAAACCAUUGUAAAGUGCAGAUUCGGCAUAAUUUAGAAACCACACUUUCAAAAUAUGGUUUCUAAAUAAGAAUAAAAAAUGUAAAAACUAGAGGAUUAGUUUAAAUAAUAAUUUGAAAACAUGUUUGAAACAUGUAUUUUGUUUUAUUGAAUUAGCCAAUUUGGCACAAAAAUGGAUAAAGUGAGGAAAUUGUUUAGGUUUUAAGUGUCUUUAUUAAGUUAAAGUGUUAAAUUCAACCAUCUCUUAAUACUUGGAUAAAAUACAUUUAAUUAAAAUUAGUUAAAUUUUUUAUUAAAUAUUGAUUUUAGUUGGAGUAAAUGUUUGAAAAACCGAGAUUUUUUAUUGAAAAAUUGGUUAUCGAUAAUGGCCAAAAUCCACCAUCAUAUAAUCCGUCGGGAAAAAAAAUCAUAGAAAGUCGGUAAUUUCACAGAAAAAUCAACGAAAUCUCGAUGAUAAGUUGGGACGUGUGGCAACUUUGGGUGAUCGGUGGUAAAAAAAAAUUGUCGAUUUUUGGUGAAAUAUAACCCCCUGGUUUUAUUGAUGGCAGUUUCUUUUUUUCUUUUUUUUCUUUUUCUUUUUUAUAAUUUAUCCUAUUUUUUAAAUUUAUAAUUAUUCAUUUUUAAUUUAUCAUUUUAUUUUAUAUCAUCAUUUCAUUUUUAACUACUUUUCAUAUUUAUCUCAUUAAUUCUAUUUAAAAAAAAUUACUAUCACUUCACUCUUAAUUAUAUAUAUCCUUUUAAUUUUAAAUGUUUUUGUUUUAAAAUAUUAAAAAUAUAAUUUUACUUAAAAAUUGCUAUAAUAUAAAAAAAAUUAAUGAAGUUCUAAUAUUUUAUAAAUUAAAAUUAAUUUGAUAAGAUAAAUUAUUAAUAAUUUUAAUUAUUAAAAUAAAUUAAUGUUAAUAGAAAAGUUGUUUUGUAAUAAAAUUUUAGAAAUUAAAUCUCAAACCAAAUAUGUUAUAUAAAUCAAUUAAAUUUUUUAUUUAAAAUGAAAUAAAACAUGGUUUAAUAAAAAUAUUUUUAAAAUAUUAAAAUAAAUUAAUAUAAAUAUAUUAAAGGAAUUUAAGCUAUUUUUUUUUUAUAAAAUUUGAUAAAUAUUAUCUUUAAUCAUGCUCAGCAAUUACAAAAUAACUUUAAUAUGUAUAUUCUUCUUUAUUUCAUUUUUUUUCAAAGUUUUUUAUAUAAGUUUUGAACUAUUUGCGUUCGAUUUGAUAUUUUUGUACCGAUAUAUCCAUAUUUAACGUUAUUUCAAACAUUUGAGUUGAAGGGAAAUGUGAAUGAGAUUAAGAAAGAAAGAGAAGGUUGAAUUUUAAACGAGAAAUAUUUGGUUAUAAGAGAUGAAAUAAUUCUCAAAUCGAAAAUCUAAUCAUUCCCAUAUUUUUUGUGAAAAAAAACUCAUUUUUUUUUUAUAGAAAUGUCAUUUUCUAUUUCAAAUAUUUCUAUACAGAUUUCAAAAGAAAUUAUUAUUUUUGUAAGAAAAUAAUGAAGAUAGUUUUGUCCAAAUGAUACAAAAAAAAAAAAAAAAAGUGGGGGUUAAAUUUCAAAAUUUGGAUUUUGAGGGCAUUUUAAUCAAAUAACCCUAAAAAAUUAAAGAUAUGUUGCCGGGGAUUAAGGAGACUUCGUUUGGUCCUAGCCCCUUGUAAAAUUAAAGAUAUUUUUGUAUGAUGUCUUGUCCAUCAUAAAAAAAUUACUCAGAGAUGGUGUCGUUUGGUAAAGAGACCGAGCUCGUGGAUGGAAGCUCUGGCCCACAUCCGAAGAUUUGAUAACGACGUAUAAAGUAUAAACUACCCUAGGCCUCCGCUUAUAACUUCAUUUGUGCGUUCCUUCCCAGAAUUUGAUUCAAGAUUAGCCCUACAGCCUUUUCAGCUGAUCCAAUUUCAUAGAUUACAUGGAUGCGCCAGUUCUUUUGCUUCUUCUCGCUCUGCUUCUAUCUUCUCCACUUCCAUCGUCUACCCUCGACAGUUUGAGUCAAGGCUCAUCCCUAUCAGUUGGGAAGCCUGAACAAGUUUUAAUUUCACAAAGUGGAAUCUUUUCAGCCGGCUUCUACCCCGUCGGUGACAAUGCUUAUUGUCUUGCCAUAUGGUUCACCAAACCAUCCUACGACGGCAAACAUACGGUUGUUUGGAUGGCAAACCGAAACCAACCAGUUAAUGGGAAUUUCUCAAAGCUUUCCCUGCUAAAAAAUGGUGAACUUAUCUUAACAGAUGCCGGGCGGUUCAUAGUUUGGACCACAAAGGCGGUUGGGGUUUCUCCGGUGCGAUUACAUCUCUUCAACACUGGUAACCUUGUGUUGCGUACCUCGGAUGGUGUUAUUCAAUGGCAAAGUUUCGAUUCACCAACAGAUACCCUUCUCCCUCACCAGCCACUCACCAGAAAUACGAGACUUGUCUCUUCAAGAACCAAAACCAACUUUUUCUCAGGGUUUUAUAAGCUCUAUUUUGACAACAGUAACGUCCUCAGUCUUGUGUUCGAUGGGCCAAACGUUUCAAGCGUUUACUGGCCCCCAUCGUGGCUUGUAAGCUGGCAGGCGGGCAGAUCGGCAUACAAUAGCAGCAGAAUUGCAUUACUAGAUUACUUUGGCUAUUUUUCUUCAUCCGACGGUUUUAAGCUUCAGUCCUCGGAUUUUGGUGAGAGAGUCCGGCGAAGAUUGACCCUGGAUAUUGAUGGCAACUUACGAUUAUACAGUUUUGAGGAAGAGAGAAAUAAGUGGGUUGUUACUGGGGAAGCCAUCACGGAACAAUGCAAAGUUCAUGGAAUAUGCGGACCCAACAGUGUUUGUACCUAUGUGCCCGGUUCUGGGAGUGGAAGGAGAUGCUCUUGCAUACCUGGAUAUGAGGUGAAAAAUCGCACUGACCGAACUUAUGGAUGCAUACAAAAAUUCAAUCUUUCUUGCAACUCACAGAAGGUUGGUUUCCUCCUACUCCCACACGUGGAGUUCUACGGCUAUGAUUAUGACUGUUACCCCAAUUACACCUUACAGAUGUGUAAAAAACUGUGCUUGGAAAAAUGCGGUUGCAUAGGAUUUCAAUACAAGUACGAUCAUAUAUGUUAUCCUAAGCGGAUGUUACUCAACGGAUACCGCUCACCUAGUUUUGAAGGACAUAUAUAUCUAAAAUUGCCCAAAGCUAGUCUCCUUUCCUAUGACAAACCCGUUGAGGAAUUCAUGUUAGAUUGCUCGGAAAACCGCACAGAGCAGCUAGUAAGAACCUAUUCAAAAGCCCAUGAAAAUGGAGUGUUAAAGUCCAUCCUCUGGUUUGUCUGUGCAAUUGGAGGAGUUGAGAUGAUUUGCAUCUGUGUGGUGUGUUGUUUCUUGAUGAUGAAGGCCCAGCAAAACACCAAUACAGAUCCGCCAGGCUACAUUUUAGCCGCCACGGGAUUCAGAAAAUUCACCUAUACUGAGCUGAAGAAAGCAACACGGGGUUUCAGUGAGGAGAUUGGAAGAGGAGGAGGUGGGAUUGUAUAUAAAGGUGUCUUGUCAGACCACCGAGUAGCAGCCAUCAAGCAGCUCAAUGGAGCUAACCAAGGAGAAGCUGAAUU